AAAUAAAAAAGUAACGAGAGAAGGAUGGCCGAGGUGGCUAAAAAUUUAGGAGCUUAGUCUUAGCUAUUUAGGUUUUAGGGUAAAACUUAAUAUAUAUAUAUAUAAAGGUAAUUUCGUAAAAACCUCAGGAUGACCGAGUCUAAGCAAAAUCUGACUUCCAUCCUAACUAUUUUUCCAACUUCAAUUUUAAAAAAAAAAUUCCGACCCUAACGGAAUGAGUUGGGAUUGUCGGUUUUGAGUUUUUUUUUUUGCCAUCCCUAUAGACAACAUUUAUAAUUUAAGGGUAAACACAUAUAAACGCUUUGUUGAUGUGGACAUCAAUGAGUGAGUGCUCUACCUGCCAAACUUGGUACCAUCCGAUCCGAAUGCGGCCUAGUAUGAAUUUGGUAGAGGAGCUGUCCUUCUAGCCUUCCUUCUCUGAUUAUGAUACCUACAAUGGAUAUAUCAAUUAUUAGGCUAGAAUUUAUGUAGACAUCAGAUUAUUUAUUCACCUUGAUGAUGAGUUCAUUUACACCUUAUCUUGUUUGAUUCAGUUUAAUAUUGAUUUUCAGAAGCAUUUUUUAUCAAAAAAUACUUUUGAGCAAAAGUUAAAAUUUUCUAUUUCUAUUUAUAACCAAAAAAAUACUUUUGCAAAACAUUUUUUUGUCCCAAAAACACUUUUGAAAAAUUCAAAAGCUUCUUGUUUAACAAUACUUUUAUCUCAAAAGUAUUUUUGGCUAAUUUACCUAUAAAGGCCUAUUUCCAAGUAUAUUUAUGGAAAUGGACCAAUUUCUGCAUUAUUUACUGGAAAUGGCUGAUUUUGGCAAAAUGCAUCCAUGAAGGAGCGUUUAAUGGUGAAAUUUCAGCGAAACGUGCCCCUAGCGGAGCAAUUUUGCCAUGUCAGCACAAAACGAGCUGACGUGAUCGUGUUUUGCUGAUGUGGCAAAAUCGUUCCCCCAGGGGCGUGUUUUACUCUGUGUUUUUUUAGGUUAGGGCUUUUUUCAUAUUUAUUCCUAGGGUUUUUUGGUUUAGGAUUUUUAGAGUUAGGGUUUUGUUAAAAUAAUUUAGGGUUCUAGGUUUUAGGAAUUUUAAAAAACAAAUCAGAAUUUAGUGUUCUUUUUUAAAAAUUAAUUAAAUUAGGGUUUAGGAUUUAAAAUAAAUUAAAUUAAAUUAAGGUUUAGUGUUUUUAAGAAAAUUAAUUAAAUUAGAGUUUAGUUUUUUUAAAAUAAUAUCGUGUUUAUGUUUAGGGUUUAGGGAAAAUUAUAUUAACAAUAAGGAUUUUGUUUUUUUCUACAGUAGUUCUUGAAAAAAUAAUUUUGAGAAUACGGUUCUGAACAAAUAGUGUGAAAAAUGCUUCAAGUAGGAUGCACUAUCAGCAAAAUUAUUGAAAAAAACUUCCACGUGGACGCUCUUUUUCUACAGUAGUUCCUAAAAAAAUAAAUUUGAGAAGACGUUUCUAAACAAAUAGUGUGAAAAACGCUUCAAGCAGGAUGCACUGUUAGAAAAAUUGAUGAAAAAAGCUCCCACGUCGACACUCUUUUUCUACAGUAGUUCAUGUUUGGCCUUAGGCUAUAAAUGAACCAAAUUUCAUUCUCAGGUUGCAUAAGAUACAGUAAGAAAAAUUAGAGAGGCUAAGUAGAAUAGAAAUUGAAGACGAGUGAACGUAUUAGUGCUGUUAUUUACUAUGAUGGUGAGGUCCGUGACACCAAGAACGGCGUUACUUCUUUUUAUCAGAGAACACAACGUGACUGGUUUUUAACCAGACUAUAGAUUUGACAGAAUUUCGUAAAAGAAUUAGGCGCAAAAUCUUUGGAACGACGCCAAUAAUGGUUUCUUCUAUUAAGUAUCAAUUUUGUACUUCGAUUGAUCCCGUGACAUAUGACUCAUUUGAUAUCAAAGGUGGUCGUAGCUUUGAGGCGAUGGUGUAGACUCAUCUCACUAGUGGAUCACCCUAUCUUGAGUUAUAUGUAUAAUUUUUAUCGCCAAAUGAAACAUUUGCGACUUCAACACCUACUGCUAUUCGAGAGAAAUACAGGACCCCCACCCGACACUUCGUUAGUGGGAGGCAAAAUACCGAAGCGCCCGUGUUUGGUGGCAGUAUGGAAUACACAACUCUUGCAUGUCACUUGGUUAGUGGAUGGGACAUGCACAUCGGUGGGUCGUUGUUCGAUGCUGGAAAUACAUAUUGGGGAAUGACAUCAACUUCUACUGGCUGGCAAUCCACAUCUGAUUGGGGACAUUCCGAAACCUCUACAAGAAGGGAUGAUGCGCUCCCUAUGACGUCCACUGGCGAGGGGACCUCGUACGUUGUAGAUGAUGGUGGGUUGGAUGAUGAGUCUGAUGUUGAUCCACCUCGAGAGCCCGACCCUGAUGGUGCAGAAGUUGCAUUAUUUUUUGAAUCAGAGCCUGUUUCAUUCGAACCUGUGGACGUUAAAGGGAGUUCAGAUGAAGAAGACAAAAAUUCACGAUUCAAGGUGUACUCACCUCCAAGCUACAUGCAUAAUGUCGAUAUAUCGAAAAAUGAUGCGUUGAAGUUUCCAGAUCUACCACACAGAAAGUGUGAUAGUAUAAAUUCGUCAUUGGAUCGGGUGAAUUGGAAGUUGGUAAGGAGUUUUUUAAUAAGGAUAGUUUUCUUAGUGCAUAGAAACAACAUAACAUCAAUCACAACAUGGUUAAAUCUAAAUCUGAAAAGUUCGAGGCGAAAUGUACAAUGCAAGACGAUACAUGUUCAUGGAAAAUCAUGGCUUCUUUUAGGAAAAAGACAGGAUUGUGAGAGAUAAAAAAGUACUAAGGUCCACGUACCUGUGUUACCGGUACAAUAACACUGGGUGUUUCGGGUUUUUGAAUAAUAAUGUUAUUAUUUAAUGUUGCAUUAUUUAACGUACUUUGUUGACAAGAGUUUCACAAUAUCAUCCCAAGAUGGAUUCAGGUAUGAUAGCUAGCUUAAUACUACCAAUGUUAAAGGCAGGUCCUAGGACUUCUGUGUCGGUCUUAAUUGCCAAUAUUUGUAGCCAAUUAAAGUACACGCCCUCUUACCGCAAGGCUUGGAUAGCUAAGAAGAAGGCAUUGGAAAAGAUAUAUAGUGGGUGAGACGCUUCAUAUAACGAGGUGUAGUAGUGGUGUCAAGUGCUGGAGAGGUACGUCCCAAGUUACAUAACAAACCUUGAAACGGUCUCUGCGUAUUGCGUAUUGUCUAAGGCACGUUGCGUCCAACUACUAUGGGUACUAUCGGUCUACCACUAAACGAUGGUAAGUGAUUAACAUGGGUAUUUAAUCUCUAUUAAUAUAAUUUUGUUUGUAAUAUUCAAUUUAUUGCGAAUGGAAUAGUGGUAAUAAUUUUCGCUAUCAACUUAUACUGGUAGGGUACGAGAUCAAUAAGGAUCGUUUUCAUGAGAUGUUGGGGAUUUUGCGUUCAGUUAACGAUCAAGGCGCAGACUACCUUUGUAACAUGCCUUUCGAACAAUGGACACAAGCAUACGACGGCAGCCUACGAUAUGGUCAUAUGACCACAAACCUGGCUGAAUGCAUAAAUUCUGUUCUAAAAGGAACACGUCAUUUAGAAAUAAUCUUGGUUGUACGAGAGACAUAUUUUUGUUUGGAGGAACUAUUUCCAAAGCAAGCAGCGAGUUAUAAAUGCCAAAUGUAGGGGGCUAUGUAUGGUUCCGAAAGGUAUUGCAAGAAAUUAACAAGGCAAAUACACGUGCUAACACCAUGCACACAAUGUGUCAUGAUCGCGACAAUAUAUUGUUUUGUGUGACAGAGUUUGAUAGACCGAACUAAUGUAUUACCAGUGGGUAAUAUCAUGUACACUUGAGAAAUAGGACUUGUGACUGUGGGACGUUUGACACACUUCGUUAUCCAUGCGCUCAUGCAAUUACAGCUUGUCAAAAUCUCCGUUUGGAUCCCAUGAGAUAUGUCGACGAAGUGUACAAAAUAGAAUACAUGUACAAUGUGUGGAGACACGUAUUCCCACUGAUCCCAGAUGAACGUAAGUGGUCGUCUGUAUCACUUACUCCGUUUAAGUUGUUACCGGAUAGAAAAUUAUUUCGCAAACCAAAGGGUCGACCUUGCUCAAGUAGAAUACAUAAUAAUAUAGAUAUCUGGGAAAGAAUGAACCAACAGAAGUUGUGUGGAUGGUGUAGGAACUCAGGUCAUACAAUUCGAUCAUGUCCAAACCGAAAUAGUUGAUAAUUGCUGUAAUGAAACUAUGUUUCAUUAUUUCUAUGGUCUUAUUCAAAAGAACUUCUAUUUUUAAAAAAAAUAUAAAAAUAAUUAACUAUUAAAAUAUUUAUUUUAUUAAAUAAAAUAAUGUAAAAAUAGUUUGUACAAAUAUAUUAAAAAAUCAAUGUGUGUGAUGGUCGGAAUCAGUGCCACAUGGGGGUAGUCGACGAUUACGCGUUGAAUUCCUCAUUGGUUCAGCUUUCAGCGGGGGUUGUGGUUGCCCCGGUGGGGUUGUGAUUGCUCCGGUUGUUGGUGUUGGGAGGAUGACCUACCUUAAUAGAAUAAAAAAUGUGGAGGUAUUUGCAUCACCUACGAUGGAGGUGUUUAAAUCCUAAAAGGCGAUAGGGAUUGGUAAUGAGAUGAGCUCCCCGACGGUGUCUCGUGCAAUCCCUCCGGUGACGAUGACAUAUAUAUCGUUAGUUGAGUCGAAGUCAUCGAGAAAGGAGAUGUACCGGGCCAUGCAUUCCAAUCUGACAUAGGACUGUGAAAAGGAAACAUAUAAUUGUUAUGAUACAUAUAAGGGCUAAGAUACACAUCUGGCAUAAUCUGAAGGGGCUGCAGUGUGGGUGUCAUCAGUUGAGGCGUUGGGUCUGGUGAUUGUGUGUGCAUUGUUGAUGGACUCGUGCCGUCAUCUCUUCUCCUUAGAUUUAAAAAGUCCCGUCGUUCCCUUUCAACAUGAAUUUACCGCCAUCUUUGCUCUUCCGACAACAAAUAUGACUUGCCAUGGAUCCUAAACCAUAGCAUGUAAUUCGACGUACACGCUAACUUUGGAACGAUGAUCGAUUUGCGAGUAGGUAUAUGAUCAUACUGAUUUUCUCAAAUUUCGAUAUAUUCUGAGAAGAAUAUCGGCCAAUUCGUAUUCGUUUUUCGUAAGUUAAUUUUGUACUCUUUAUCGAACACCUUAGGUGCCCCGGAAAUCGAUUUUCGAAAUCCAAAUUACCGCAACACUCUAUCCAUAUAGUGUAUCUCGACAGUAGCAUAGUUAACCAAUGAGACCUUAACAUGCCAAAUGUUCAGAUUUGAAAGAAUUCAUCUGGAAUUACUGCCCGAAUUGUCGGAUCCUCGUAUAGUAUCCAUUGAAACUAUAUGAACAUGAUAAGAAUAUUAGUUAUAUGCAUAAACUAAAUACUAAAUAUGAAACGACUAUUUUAUGUAUAUAUGUUCUAUUUAAUACUUACUUGCGCUUCCGACCGUUGGCCUAAUAGAAGUUGUACAUCUUCAAAAGCGAUAGGUAUUCCAACAUAACUCGCCGGAUGGUUCCACUUAAUUAAAUAAAUUUUUAGCAUACAAUUUUAUUUUAAAUCUAUGUAAUAAUUGUAAAAUGAAAUAAAAAUUUUACCUCGUUAUGAGUGAGAAUGUAUAUGGGUGGUUCACUCGAGGACGUAAAAAUAAAAAGUGAAACCGAGCCCAUGAUUGUAGUAGUGAUAGACAACCUCUAAUUUUGGCUUUAUUUGGUGGCGUCGUCUCGCACAGCUCCCGGUAUAAUGUUGCCAACACGGUAGACCCCCAACUAAAUUCGCCAGCUGCUCUAAAAUCAACGAGUUUUAGCAGCCACCUCAGAUGUAUGAGGUUUCGUAACAAGUCCGGCAUCACAUAAGCUCUAAUCAUCUCAAGGAUGUAUGCUUGAGCAUAUCAUAUUCUUUCUACUUCAAUCGAAUCAUUCCUCGACUCUAGGAAUGUAUCUCGUAACCAGCCCAUCUCAAUCUGACCUCCUUAAAUAUUAUCCGGAAUCGCACCCAAAAGAUUAUAGCAUAUGGCUCCCCAAUCAGCAGAUUGAACGGACCCCGUGAAUGCGAACCUAUCCACUGACAAUCCUAAUUGUAACUACACGUCCUCUAAAGUGAUAGUACACUCUCCGCAUGGAAGAUAGAAUAUGUGUGUCUCGAGUCUCCACCUCUCUAUUUACGCGGUGAUGAGUUUCGAGUCCAACUUGCACCCCUGGCCUAUAGUGGCCACGUGUCAAAAACCUGCUUCCCUCAAGUAAUUUUCUAUCAACGGUGAUGGAGGACCAGACAUAUUAUGAAUAUAACAUUGUAACACCCGAUCUACAGACUGUUAUAAAAAAUUAUAGGAUACAAAUUAAUUAAAAUUACAUAAAUGAAAAAAUAUUAAAUAAUAUUCAAAAAUUAAAAUUAACCUUUACCAUUUUCAUUUGUUCGACGGAAAUAUGUUUAUGAUCGAGAUGAAUUAAUUCCCCGGCCAUUGCUAAUACGAUCAAAUAUUUUUGAAAUUAUAAAAAAAAUAAUACUAAUUUAGAAAAAAAAAUUAAAAGGAAAUAAUUAAUUAAAGAGAGCUUUGAGAAAUUUAAGGAGAAAUUUGAGAGCUUUGAGAAAUUUAGGGAUAAAAUUGAGAGUUUUUUUGCCAAAAUUUGAAGAAAUAUUGUGUGAAAUAAUAGGAGGAGGGUUUUCAUACGUUUUUUUGACAAUUGGACCCUCCAAUGGUCAAAAAAUAAAAUAGCCGUUGGGAAAAAAAACACGGAGUAAAGCGCGCCCUGGGGGAGCAAUUUUGCCACGUCAGCAAAGCGCGUUCACGUCAGCGCGUUUUGUGCCGACAUGGCAAAAUCGCUCCCCUAGGGGCGCGUUUUACUGAAAUUUCACCUUAAAACACUCCUACGUGGAUGCGUUUUGCCAAAAUCGGCCAUUUCCGGUAAAUAAAACAUAAAUUGACCCAUUUUCGUAAAUAUACUUGGAAAUGAGCCUUUAUAGGUAAAUUAGUCAGUAUUUUUUAUCCUAAAAUUACUUUUGAGAAUUAAUGCUAAACUUGCUCUUCAUCUAUCAUAUCAUUAUUCAUGUAAAAGCCCUUCGGAUGGUCAUGGUGCGUUUAAAAUCUUUUCCACUGGUGUUUGAAGAUCGAGGUAAUGGAUGAUGAUUCAGUUGAACACCCAUUGCAAUAAACUCCACCUUAUAAUUGUAGACAGUCGGGCUGAGGAAUGCAUUUGCCUCGAUGCUAUGGAUGAUGGAUAAAAUUUUACAUUUUUAUUUGUUUAAUUAGACAAACUUGAUGUUUAUUUUUAGUUAUUCAUUUUUUCAAAUCAAUUAACUUGAUUUUUUUAGAUAUCAUAUGGAUCUACAAAUAUUAACAAAUUAAAAAAAAUAGUUACAUUACAUUUGAAUUGGAUGACAUUGCAUUUUACAAACAACAAAUCAUAACAUCACAUUACAUUUUACAAAUAAAGACUCAUAGCACUAGAAAAAGUACUAGCAAUCUAGACUCAUAGCACUAGAAAAGUACUAGCAAUCCUUUCAACCAUGUCAUAUGAGUGUCUCAAGUUCAUCGAUGCCAUUGCUCUAAGUUGGACAUUAACUAAUUAGUUUGAGCAUUGGUAUGGUUUCAAAAACAUUGUCAAAAUUCUCAAAAAACGAAUGUUAUUUACUCCUUGAAUGAUAAUAAGAAUUGUUCAUGGGUCGUGUAACCCAAUUAGCCUGGUUAACUCAACUCAUUUUAGAAUAGACUUAAGACAACUCAAGAUUGAAAAAGAUAAGCCUAAGCACAUUCUAAAAUGAGUCAGGUCGAUCGAGUUGGUUGGGUUACAUAACCCAUGAAGGCAUGAAUACCUCUUAUUCCCAUUCAAUGAGUAAAUUACAAUUUUGUUUUUAAAUUUUGGCAAUGAUUUUGGAACCACAUUGGUGCUCAAAUUGGUCUGACUACUUGGUUUCCAGUUCAAACAGUCCAACCGGUUCAAAAUAAAUAAAAAUAUUAAAAAUUUAUAAAAAUCGAUUCCACUACUGAUUCAAACAAAUUUUUAGCCCAAUUCGACCAAUCUGUGCUGGUUCGCAAGUCAAUUGAUUUUUUUACCUCUCAUCAUAUAGAUACCCUAGUUGAUUCCUAGUUCAACUAGUUUGACUAGAUAGUCCUGCCUGACUUAGACAACAUUAAAAUUUAAAAUUUUCUAUACAUUUAAAAUUAUAUUUUUGAAUUUUAAAAAAUUUUUAUUUUCUUCAUAAUUAUAUAUUUUAAAAAUAUUUUUAAAUGUUUAUGCUUUUAUUUAAAAUAUGAAAAAAAUAUUUUAAAUAUUUUAUUUACUUUUAUAGGGUAAGAAUCAAUUUGACAUAAAACUAUAAAUAUUGAGAACUAAAAAAAAUAUUUUACCUUUUUUUAUAAUAGCCACUAAUAAUAAAAUUAGAUGAAGGAACCGAGAUUUUUAAAAAAAAUACAGGAUCUCAAUUUCUCAAGAUUAAAAUAUGAGGAUUAACUUUUAAAUUUUAAAAGAGUAUAGGGAUCUUUAACAAAUUUAAACCCAUUUUAUAAAUAAUGUUGUAAAGUAAAAGGUUAAGUGGGAAAAUAAUAAAAUUACCGUAAAGAGAUGAAAAUCUAAUUUGAUUAGAUGAGUGUAGUGCUCAAAUUUCUGACUCAGGAUUCCAACACCACAAACAAUUAUUCAUUUAAUUUAUAUCUCAAAGAAGCUCCAUGAUCUAAGUUGCUUCUUUACACCCCUAUGUGCACGAAACCUAGCAUUUUUAUUUUUUAAAUUUGAUUUGAUGUUAUUUUGAACCAAAUAAUUUAUUACUACUAUUUUUUUUUUAUUUUUUUACAUUAAUAAUACAAUUAAUUAUAAAAAUAGAAUAAGUAUAGUUCAUCUUGAACAGAAAAAAUUGGUAUUAUCAAUGUGUCAAGUAACAUUAUUUAUAAAAAGAAUAUAUAUUUUGAUUAUAAAGGGUGUUGCCAAUCAAGGGGCGCAUCCAUUUUUUCCUCUUAAAUUUUUAUUUCUUUUAUGUUAUAAUUUUUAAAGGCAUAAUGAAAUAUUUGACUCUUGAACGUUAUAAAUUUUUUUAUUUUAGCUAUUUAUUUAAUUUUUUUUUUAUUUUUUUUAGUUUUAAAAUUUGUAUUUUUUUAUCAAAUCACUCUAAAAUAAAUAAAAAAAACUCACAUUUUUUUUAACUUUGAUUAUGUGACAUGCACAUGGAUGACAUGUCUAUAUUUAAUUAACAUUUUAAAAUUUAAAAAAAAAUUAAAAUUUCUAUGUCAACCACAUAGUAAUCCACGUGUAUGUCACGGUAAUAAAGUUAAAAAAUAUUAAUUUUUCAUCUAUUUUGAGAUGAUUUAAUAAAAAAAUAUAAGUUUAAAAACUAAAAAAAGAUAGAAAAAUUAAAUGGAGGACUAUUUUUGUUUUAGAAAGUUGAAAGAACAAAUAUGUUAUUAUGCUAACAAAUAUAAAUAUUAAAAAAAGAGAGUAAAAUUUGACCGAGGAAAGAGAGGUGCCACCUCCGUGGUUGGCAAUACCCAUUUGUAAUUAAAAUUUUAUUUAUUAGAUUAAAAUAUUAUUUUUUAUAGCUAAUAUCACUUAACAUAUUAAUGAAACCAACUUUUACUGUUCAAAACGAUAUAUUUUCAUAAAUAAUCUAUUUUCAACCUCAUUUUCAUAAUUUCUUUUAGAUAUUAUUAAUGUAAAAACCCCUACUUUUGUUUUAUUCAAAGCAACCAAUUGAAACAUGUAAGUGAUCUUGCCUUUUAAUGCCUUUUUUUUUAUAAAAAUACUCAAAUUUUUUUAUUAUUUAUGAAAGUGACUCACUUUAAAAAUUAUGUACGUAAAUGACUCAUUUUAAAUAGUAAAUUUUGGUGACACCACCACCUCUAAUUUAAAAAAAAAAAUUUGGGUGUUGCCGUUACUAUUGGUGGCACCAGACUGAAGUAUAAUUAUAUAAAACGUUAAGUGACCUGAUGAAACAAUUACCCUUUUAAAUUGGAUUGGCACACACCAAUUAAAUACUUUUAAACUUUUGAUCUAUUUGCAUGUUAGGUCUAUCCUCUUUUGAAAUUAAAUUAAAUUAACAAAAACAAAAACCUUUUCAAUUUUUUUUAAAAACAAUAAACUUAAAAAAAUAUAUAAAAUAUUUAUUUAAAUUACUUGCGACAAGUUUGUCUCUCUAUGAUCCAGUUAAAUACAGAUGAUUCAGAUUUUAAAUAAUAAAAUCUUAUAUUUAGGGUUAAUCAUAUAUUUAUUUACAAUUCAAACCUACCUCAACAUGAUUUUAAAUUUUUAAUCACGUGAGUUUACCUGAUUCUUUUUUUUUUUGAAAUAAAAGACUGGGAUUUUAUUUUAUUGAAUAUAGAUAAAAACAAAACAAACAACCGGACCCAAACAAAUGGCCAAAACAAAAUGGUUCCGCAAAGAAAUAGCCUAAAUAAAGCAAAAUAAAACUUUCCAGUUACUUACUGACCAGAAAUGAAAAGCAGCAAACACAAAAUACAAUAAAAUGUUUUAAAAUCCAUCCCAGUCAAAUCAAGAAACGAUUGGAUGCCAUAAAUUCUGAUGACUAGUCAUUUCCAAUGCUCCAGAAUGUUCUGUCGAUAGCUUUCCCCAAGAUCUUUUUACUUUCUUUUGCUAUCUGCUUUCUUUACUUUUUUGCUCAUCUCUCCUUCAAUCUGGUUCCCUAGGCCAAGUUCCUACCGAGGCGAAAGCAUGACCUUCCCGUUUUUUUCCCCUCAGAUAAGUAUCUUCUUCUUUCUCAAGCGCGAUCUUUGCUAAUCUAUGAGCAUAUGAGUUUUCAGAUAUGUGAAUAUAUUGAAAAAUAAGUUCUUGAAAAUCAACUUUCUUUUUCUGAAUAUCUCUGAUAAUGGCUCCGAUUACUGACUUGUCUGUUGAAGUUGCUUGACAUUUUUUUAUAACUGUUUUUGAAUCCCCCAUAAGUCUGACUGAUUGGAUUCUAAGUGAACUCCCUAAUUUUGUACCUUCUAGGCAUGCAUAUGCCUCUGCUGCGAAAGGUGAGGGGACAUUUCUAUGGAUAACCGUCUUUAACACCAUUAAGUUUCCCCUCAGAUCCCACCUUACUAAACCUGUCGCUGAUCUGAAGGUUCUACUGUCAAACGCUGUAUCAAAGUAGAUUCUCGUUCUCGGUUUAACCUCUUGUGUUUUAUGACUUUUGUUUAUACUUUCAUUCUUUUUCAAGUUUUUUAAACCUUCAUAUUCUGCUAAAUGUCUUUGAAUGUUUUGUGCUAAAUCCCUUCCUGUUGUGUUUUUUCUCUCGUGUACCAAUUGAUUUCUGGAGUACCUUAACUGCCAUAAAGUGUAACAGAAGAGCAGACACUGACCAUUGUUGCUUCUCUUGAAAACCCAUGUAAGCCACUCCCAUAUAUUUUGACUCAUGUUAUUCAUAACCCAUGAAAGAUUUAACUGUUGCCAAACUUCAAUUGUCAUAGGCCAUUCACGGAAGACAUGGACACUUUCUUCAACCUACAAACAACAUCGGGGACAUCUAUCAUUAGAAAUGACCCUCCUGUACCUAAGAUUAGCAAAAUUUGGUAUAAAGUCCCAUGAUAUCCGGCAGACUGUAAAUGUAAUUUUUGAGGGCAAUUGUAGGCUCCAAAGUUUCUUGUAAAAUUCUUUUAAUUCGGACUGUAUUAAAUAAUCAUUAGGAACCCGAUUAGCCUCUUGUAAUAAUUUAUAGGCACUGCGGACCGAAAACUCACCAGAUAGUUCUCCUUUCCACACCUGAAUAUCCUUAUGCUCAAACUCUUCUAGGGGAAUCUGCAGUAUUUUCCUAGCAAUUUCCUCUUAAAAGGUACUAUUAAUCACAUCCAUUCUCCAUUUUCUACUUGAUAAAUCGAUAAGAUCCGAAACUAACUGUAAUUCACCUCUGUUUGUUCUAAUUUGUGCGCCAAUUUUAUCGACCCCCUGAAUCCAGUUAUCUUCCUAAAUGGAGAUGCUAUCCCCUCUACCCACCCUCUAGCUCAUCCCUUUUUGGAGAAGACCUUUUGCUGCCUAUAUACUCUUCCAGGUAAAAGAAGGUAAAUUUCCCAACUCUGCAGAUAAGAAACUAGAAAACGAGAAAUAUUUUGCUUUAAAAACUUUGGCUAAUAAUUAAUCUGGAAAAUUAAUGAGACGCCAUCCUUGUUUAGCUAGUAACGUGUUAUUGAAUUGGCUAAAAUCUCGAAAACCUAAACCUCCACAUUCUUUUAAAGAACAAAGAUUUUCCCACGUGCACCAAUGAAUUCCUUUAUUACCCUUUCCUUUCUGCCACCAGAAUUUAGCAACAAUGCUCUCCAAUUCUUUACAUAAAAUUUUGGGUAGUAAGAAACAUGCCAUCGAAUAGGUAGGAAUAGCCUGAAGUAUGACCUUUAUAAAAACUUCUUUGCCUCCUUGAGAUAAAAACCUGAUACUCCAAUUAUCGAUACACUUCUUGAAACGAUCCUUUAGAUUUUGAAAAGCUUCUUUCUUCCUUCGGCCCACCAUAUUCGGCAACCCCAAGUAUCUCUUUAGAUCAUUAGACCUACGAACCCUCAACAAGUUGACAACCUGACUUCUGUCCUCUUUCAGUGUGUUUUUGCUAAAAAAUACUGUUGAUUUUUCAAAGUUUACGCAUUGCCCCGAGCAAGUUUUAUAUUCUUCUAGUAUGUCCUUGAAGAUAUUAGCACCCUUCCUUGUUGCCUCCCCAAAUAAUAUGCAAUUAUCAGCAAAUAAAAGAUGGGAUACCUAUGGUCCAUUCUUACUAAUCCUAACUCCUUUCGAAAUACCUCUCUUCAUUGCCGAUAUUAAUAGACUCGAUAGGCCCUCACCGCACAAAAGGAAUAAUAACGGACUUAGUGGGUCGCCUUGUCUCAAACCUCUGGUUGGCGAAAAAUUAGCCUCUCUAAACCCAUUAAUGAUCACUGAAUAAGAAACAGUAGAUACACAUUUCAUAAUGGCCUUCACCCAGUUAAGGUCAAACCAUAUCUUUACCAUAAUUUCUUCAAUAAAACUCCAUUCAACCCUAUCGUAAGCUUUGCUCAUAUCUAGUUUAACGGUCAUAAAACCUUUUUUCCCCAGUUUCUUCAGUUUUAACUUGUGUAGCACCUCAUAUGCUAGUAAUACAUUGUCUGAUAUCAAUCGUCCUGGUACAAAAUCACUUUGGGCUUCAUCAAUACACUUCCUAAUAAUAUUUCGGAGCCUAUUAGCUAUUACCUUUGCUAUAAUUUUAUAAAGAACAUUGCAAAGACUGAUCGGCCUAAACUGCGACAUAUUUAAAGGGCUUUCUACUUUGGGUAUAAGCACUAUAUUUGUAAAAUUAAUUUGACUAACUUCUAUUUUACCAUUCAACAUUCGGAGACAAUAAGAUAUGACAUCUUCUCCCACAAUCUGCCAACAUUUCUGAUAACACGCUACUGGAAAGCCAUCUUCCAUUGGCGCCUUCGUUGGACCCAUGUCAAAGAUAACUUCUGUAAUUUCUUCCUUGGAAUAUGGAGCUGUAAGUCUUUGAUUGUCUUCUUCAUGAAUACACCGCUCAACCCCUGAUAAUAUAUGAUCAUAAUUUCCUCUUCUACCUGCCGAAAACAGGUUUUGAAAAUAAGCUUGUGUCGUAACCUCAAUAUCAUUCAAAAACACCAUCUCUCCCCCUUCUUCGUUCUUUAAUUUGUGAAUAAAAUUCCUCUUCUUUCAUUGUGAAACUUGAUUGUGAAAGAAUUUUGUAUUUUUAUCUCUAAACUUCAACCAAUUUGUUCUGGCCCUUUGUUCCCACGUUCGUCUUUUUCAAUCUCAAAGUUUAAACUUAUUUUUGUAUCGAUCAAUUCAGCUAAAGUCUUAUCAUCCCUUUCAGCUACAACCAACUCUUCAAGCUUUUUUGUCAGAAAUCGUUUAGAUUUUUUCCUGUUAAAUUGAAUUCUCCUAGCCUAUUCCUUCAGACUUUCUUUUAAAUUCUCCAGUCUCUGUAGCAAUUCCCCUGAAGAAUUCUCCCACAAAAACUUAACCACAUUAAUAAAUGACUCCUCCAUUAACCACCAAGCUUCAAAUCUAAAAUUACUGUUCCAAACUUGAUCUUUAUAUUUCCUGGUAUCCAAAAGAAGAGGGUAGUGAUUUGAAAACGUAUGAGUAAGAUGUUGGACUUUCACCUUUGGAAACAGCACAAUCCACUCUAUGUUAGCUACUCCUCUAUCAAGUCGUUCUUGAAUAUUUGUCUUCGGUAAAUUACCUCUCUCCCAAGUGAACCAGCUGCCUUCAAAUCCCACAUUAUAUAGAUGACAAUCUUCUAGCGUUUUUCGAAAUAACUCCAAACUUUUUUCAUCUCUAGGUAGCCCUCCUUUCUUCUCAAAUCCAUACAUGAUUUCGUUAAAAUCGCCACACACCAACCAUGGAAUUACCUCACCAACAACUAAUCUCUUCAAAACUUCCCAUGAAUUGUUUCUGUCCUGAACAUAUGGGGAACCAUAAAAGCCUGUAAAUCUCCAUUUAACUCUUUUUUCUUUAUCUUCAACUAGCACGUCAAUAUGUCUUUUAGAAAAACUACGAAGCAUUAUAUCCAUGUCGGUUUUCCAUGCUAAGCAUAAUCUUCCUCUCGUGCCUUCAGCUUCAACUUCAAUCCCGUUUAGGAAACCACAUCUUCUAUGAAUAAUUUCCAUUUGUUUUUUACUAAGUUUUGUCUCCAUGAAAAAGACUAUUUGGGGAUUAUUUUUCUUCAGUAAAUAUCGAAGUCUUCUAACCGUCCGUUGUCUCCCCAAACCACAGACGUUCCAACUUAAAAUUUUCAUUGCUCCCGGUCGGCUAACCUCUUGGCAGUCGCUGAUGAUAAAAAGGAUAGUAUCUUCCAUCUCAACCCUAUUUUGCUUUUUCCCCUCCUCCCCUAUUAAAGUUUCAUCUUCCACAUCAUACUCCAUAGCUACUUUUCCUUGAAAGGAUCCUAAUUUAUCCUUCCAUUGACCAACAGAUGGUCCUUCCCCUUCUUAACUAAACCCCAAUAUUAAAUCAAUGGAUUUCUUCUUACUCCCUUUCAAAUCCCCAUCCCUUGAACUAAGCCCUACCGUUCUGUUCCCUAUCCAACUCCCUUCACUUUUACUUUCUCUCUCUUAUCGUAACCAAAUACUAUUCAUUGCUAGAGCUCUACGAGAUGGAGCUCGCAAAGAUAAAUCCCAACCCAUCUCAAUGAUGUCCGCCCUCAUCAUCAUUCUUGCCUCGCAAAUAAAAAACAUUAUGCCCCAAAUGACCACAGAAAAAAUAAAACAACGAUAAGCGUUCAUAUUUAAACUUAACAUACGAACAUAUCCCACAGCUCAUAACCUACUUUUUCCUUCUCAAUGGUUUCCUAACAUCAAUUUGCACCCUAAUCCCCAUGUAGUUACGAUUUUCCUUUCCUAGAUUUGAAGCAUCAUACUCUAGGAAAACUCCAAUAAAAUUACCCAAUUGUAUCGCUAAAUUCUCAGAGAAUAAACCAACUGGAACAUCAUGGAUUUGUACCCAAAAGGGAACAAAAACUAGAGGUAUUUUCAAUGGAUCUUCGCCCCUCUUUAAUUUGCACAAAAUUAGUAAAUGAUUAUUAAAAGUCCAUACCUUUAAAACUCUCUCCGUAUCCAUAUAAUGAAAAAACUUGAAGAGGUACCUUUUCUUCCCUAGAUUUCUGAUUUGCACCCCACAGACAGGAUGCCAUAAAUUUGCCAGAGUGCUCUUCAUGGCCGGAAAAUUUAUUAUACUUGCUGUUAAGAAGCAACCCACAAGCUAAUAAUCUGCCUACUUCUCUUUGCAUAGUUGGAUCUGCCUGGACUAACAGGACUUCUUCUUCUUCUUCUUCAUUGAUCGAUAGAUUUGCUAAUUCAGUCUCCAUACUUGCAGGAUUUGAAAAGAGAUGGAAACUCACCCGCCUUCAAGAUAACAGAAAGGGAAUAUCCUGAAACCGACGAGCACAAGAAUUGAAAAUAAUAAAGAACCAGAACUAAAACAACAAAAAACCUAAUAACUUAGGCCAGAGGCGGCAGACAAUACGUGCUAGGGCAGCAGACUUUUUUUGAUCAUGAGUUUCCCGAUUCUUAAAUAUAUAUUAGAAUAUGAAAUAUAAAAAAAUAUUUAUAAAAGUUUUAUUUCAAAAUCAAGUAAAAUGUUAUGUGAGAUAAUUAAAUUAAAAGUUUAAAAAUAAUGUGUUAAAAGUUGAAAUUUUAUCAUAGUAUUAUUCUAUUUAAAACAUAAAAAAUAUAGAAAUACCUUCACAUUAAUAUUUAUUAUUUUAUAAAAAUAAAAUGUUGUAACAAUUUUCAAAUUGACUUGUUAUUUAAUGGAUUCGUUUUAUAUAUUAACCUUUACGGUCAAGUCCUUUAUUUGUAUUAUUAUUUUCAUCAUCAGACUGAAAAUUGACUCCCAAGGGCUUAUUUUGCAUGAUAAAAGAAGCAGUGAUCAUCUUCGUUUAUCAAUCAAGUUUUAUUAUUAUUAAAUUUGGAGAAGAAUUGAACUCAAAGUUGAUAAAACUGUAAUUAAUGGAACAAACAUAAAAUUUAUAAUUGGCAGUCAAACUUUGAAAGUCUACAUAAGUAGCUAGAUCAACUUAAUAUUUUUAAUUUCUAUGAUAUACAGAUUGAUUGUGCUUGUUCAAAACCGACAAAACUGAACCAAAAAGGAUGGGAACUAGACAGUUAUGGUGAAUCAUUGAAUGCCAUUGCCCAUCCCCUUUUCACUCCCAAAAUGGCGAGUUUUCUUGUAUCCCUAAAUACGACACAACUAGAAAAUAUUAAUACCACAUUCCGUCUGCAAUAUUAUACAUGAUGCAAGGUGUGGUCCAUAAUUUGCCAAGCCUUUCUAUAAAAUUUGACAAGUAUGGCAUCGGUAACAGAGCAUAUGAUGCUUAGCAACAUUUGUGACCCACAAUUUUUAAACAGUGGGAUUGAAUUCUAUCAUCUUGCAAUCGGCUUUUGUUGCUUCCAGUUUUCUUUGUAUGCUAUAUAGCUUUUUACCCUAAUUUUGUCAUAUUUAGUGUUUGGAUAACCAAAAGAAAAGCUUGUCCAUACGUUGUGUGUUCAAGAUAGGAUUCUAACUUACUUUAUGUUUAAAUGGAAGAGUUUCAUUUCACUAUCACUUCAUAUAUGAUAGUAAUUCCCAAUUGGAGUCCACUUAUUCCAACAGGGUUAAUGUUGUGGGUUGAAAGAACUAGUGCUGUCUUUUAUGGUACACAAUCGACAAUUGCAUACGGAUGCAAAUAUGUGUUUCAGACAAUGAUUGAAGGAGACAGAACAUGAAUUUAACUCUCAAUGAUUUGACUAUUUAAUGCCAUUUUCCCUUUUUUUUCUGUUAGUUAAUCUUCCUUUAUCUCCUCCACGGAAAACAAGGGUAAGGUUUGGUUUCCUCAAAUUAAUUCAUACAAGAGGAGAAUCAUGUAGUUGAUGCAACCAUAAUGGGUGUUAGAAAAAGUUGAAAACGAUAAUCAUGAAAUCCUAAGUUUUGUUUUUUUUUUUAAAUGGUCAGCACUAAUAUUAUAUAUAGUUGACAUAACCAUUGUUCAAGCAUCACCAGAGGGGAAACUCAGGAAAAAAAAUGAUAUUCGAAUUUUAAUUCCAUUCCAUUAGAUGUCGGCCACGUCUUUUGCUAACUCCUAUAUAACCACAUCUCUCUAUCAGAAACUUCUUGUACAUAAACCCUUUCUGAUCAUUGAGAAUCUUUGGCCUAUGACUUUCCCGAGGGACGAAGAAAUAAACGAUGCAGAUGUUGAGAUCCCAACUCUAUAUCUAUAUCCAAGCGGAGGUGAAAACAUGGAAACAGGCGGGGCAGAUGAUAACUUGGGGGUUUUAUUGAGUUUGGGGCUCAACAGACGGGAGGCCGCAACGAGCGGAGAGUGUGAUAAAGAAUCAAAGCCUGCAAAUGCAAGCAACAAAGUGUUUUCAUGCAACUUCUGUAUGAGAAAGUUUUAUAGUUCUCAAGCAUUGGGAGGCCACCAAAACGCACACAAGAGGGAAAGAGGGGCAGGCAAAAGGUCCCAACCUCACAAAACGGGGUUUCCAGUCAAUCCAAUGGGGUUUCGAUCACUUAGGGUACUGCAGCCUCAUUCUGUAGUUCACAAGGAUGUAAGAUCAGAAGGGUCUUCAAUGGUAGCAAGGUUUAGUACUGAUUCCAGCAGGCCUUGGUUUGGAGUUGCUGGUGGGACACCCUUUUUGGGUGAAAAACCAAUGGCUUCGAUUUGGCCUGGAAGCUUCCGACUUGAAAAUUUGCAAAAUCAAAAACCUCAACUUGAUGCAGAUUCCCAAAAGCUUGACUUAAAUCUGAGGUUAUAGAUGUUUUAGUCUGAGAUUAUAUCUAGUUGUUACAUGUAACUGUUUUAUCUCACUUAUUGAACAUUGACCCUUUUUUCCCUUAAAAUAUAAAGGCUUUGUUAUCUUUGUUUAGUAUAUGUUUCAUAUAUGCUCAUCUUUUCUCUAAAAAUUCUUGUCAAUCAUUAAUAAUCAAAACUAGAUGAUAUAGUUGGCAAAAUAAACCCGAGUCAGAAAACUUCGUCCAUGUCGAUUCGAAUUUAAGAAAAUUCGAGCCUAAAAAAAUUUGAACCCAAAAAAAUUCGAGCCCGUAACAACUUCAAGUUCGAGACCAAAACAAAUCUGUCCCAAAACCUAAAAAAGUCCGACUUUAUAACUAAACAACUAAUAUACAUUUAUGAUAUUUAAAAUAAGUAAUUGUUCUUUAUAUUAUGAAAAUAUAUUUAUAAGCAUGACAUAUUUAUAUUAAAAUAUUAUUAAUAGGAAAAGUAAUUAAUAAUAAUUAUGUUAAAUUAUAAAGUGAAACAAAUUUUUAAAAAUAUUAAUUUAAUUUAAAAUACUUUUAAUAUUAUAAUUAUAUAAAAUUAAUAAUUAUUAAAACUAUAAAAUUAAAUUUUAAUGAUAAUAUAAUAUAUAAUGACAGAAUAUAUUAAUUUAAUAUUUACCACAUUUCACAAAUAACUUACACAUGAUUAAUUUUACGAUAUUAAUAACAUUAGUAACAAAUUUAAUUUUAAACCAUAAACUUUUUAAUAAAAAAAAUUCUCUAUAACAAUAUAAAUUAAAGAAAAAGUAAAAGUUGUUUAACAAAAAAAAUAAAAAAUCUAAAUACAAUAUAUAUUAAAAAAAACCGAUAUUAAUCUGAUUCUUAAUACCAUGCCAUCCUAGGUCCAAAUCCCAAAUUCACAUUGAAGAAGGAGACACCACGGACCGAGAGAGAGAUAGCUUGAUAAUAUAAAAUUCUUGCCAUGAGAAAAGAAAUUCAGAGAAUGCACCAAAUCCAUUUCAGACCCAAAAGAAAACUAUUUUAGUUUAAAGCUCUUCUACUUUUUAAAAUUUUUAAAAUUGUUGAUGUGACUCUUAUAAAUUGAGUAAAACAACUUUUUAACUCUUGUUAAUUCAGUUCUCACUCUUUCAAACCACAUAAACAAGUAUAAAACAAAAUUUAGAAAUUACAAGUUUUUUUUUCCCUAUUUUCAAUAAAAAAUAUAAAAAAUAUUUCAAAUUAAAAAUUUAAAAUUCAUUUAGUCCAUGAAAAUUUCAUUUCAAAUUAUUUAAAAAAUGAAAAAUAUAUCUUUUUUAAAAUGGGUUAUUUAAUAAGUUUUCUCCAAAUUUUGGAUAAAAUUUUUAUAUUUUAAAUCAGAUUAAUUAUAUAUCAAAAUUAUUUUUAUGUAAAUUUUAGUAUAAAAUAAUUUUAAAUAAUAAUACAAAUUUUGAGUUGGUUCAGAUUAAAUUUAAUAUAUGUAUAUUUCAAAAUACUCUAUACUAAAAGACUUCUGUAUAAAAAUGGACCUAUUUUGGCAAAAUACGAAAGUGAUAAAUUAAGUUUUGAAAUUUUUGUAGUGUAUUUUGAACACUAAAUUUACAUGGUAUAUUAAAUUUUAAUUCAAAUCAAAAUUAUUAUUAUUUAAAAAUUAAUUAAUACAUUAUAUAUUAUAUAUGUGAAUGAUUUGAAUUAAAUAAAAAAAUAUCUAUUUAAAUAUGAUCUGGACUAAAUAAAUAGCUCGAAAUAACUUAUUACCAUUAUAGAUGUGAAUGGGGCAAGGCCAAGUCAAGGUCCAAUUUAAAAAAUUUCUCUGAGUUGAUUUCGCUCGAAUGGACCAUUUCCUAUUUAAAAAUAAUAACAAAAUAUUUUAUAUUUUAUUUUAAUUAUAAAAAUUAAUAUUAAUGUAAGUUUUUAUUUUUAUUUUAUCAUUUUAAACAUAAAUGUGAACAUCUCUUAUUACCAUUUUAUAUAUUAAAUAAAUUUAAAUUUUUUUAAAAAAUAUUUUUAUUUUUUGGAUUUAAAGAGUUUUUUUUCAUAAUUUUUUAAUUUUAAAAAAUAAUUUUUUUUAAAUUUUUUAUGCUUUUAUUUAAAAAUGAGAAAAAUUAAUUUUUAUUAUUUUUUUAAAAUUUUAUGUAAUUUUAAAGAAUAAGGAUUACAUUAACAAAAACUAUAAAUGUUUAGGGCUAAAAAACGUUAUUUUACCUUUUUCAAUUAUUACAUAAAUAACUUUAAUGGAUCAAAAUUUUUAAAUAAAAAAAAGUAAAAGUAUUCAAUGUGGCAGAAUUAAAAUUUAAAAUUAAAAGAAGUAUAGAAAUCUCAAGGUUAUUCAAACUUUAGUUUUAUAUAUAGAAUUUGAGAUAUUCAAAGAAUUUAGAUUGUAACUCUUUUUUUUUUUUUUCUUAUUUUAAACAAAAAUUUAAUGAAUUUUUGUGUGGUAUUUAGUAUUGGUUUUCCUUUUUUGGUGUGGGCUUAGGACCAACUCAUUGGUUAGUUUAAGAACAGAUUCUGGCAUUGUACUUUGAGCAAGCUUUUAGAUUUGGGCUUUGCUCCAAAUUCAAAAACUUCUUGUUGCUUUUGGUUCAAUCACAAAUUUAGAAAAUGAUGGAAACCCAAGCCCUGGAAUUUUUUAGAUUGAACCCAAUUUAUGAAACAAAUGGACCAAAACCCUGAAAAUUUUCUUUUUAAUAUUCUGAAAUAUCCGGAGGAAAAGGAAAUGAAGAAAAACAAGAAAAAUUAGAAAGAAAGAAAGAAAAAAAAAAACACCAAUAAAGGAGCCUUCGCAUGACAAGCAACGAGCAAAGGGUUUUUAUUCAUUUCCCUUUUCUCUGCACCCAAAGCCCCACCUUCGUGGAUUUUGUGUGCAAUUUUUUUCUUAUAGGCAGCCGAGGUAUUAUUGUUUUUAAUCCAUGGUAUUUUCUCUUAUAUUUCUCCCCCUUUUUUUUGUAUUAUGUAUGUAUUUUGUUGGAUUUUUGGAUUUUUUGAAUUUCACUAUCUUUGUUUUUCUUGAAUUUCUUUUUGAUGUUUUUUGCUUUCAUAAUGUAGAACGGAAUGUUAAAAAAAGAGAGGAUAAAAUCAGGAAUUUUUUUCAGAGGUGUCGAGAAAGCAAGGAAUUCAGUUUGGGAUUUCAUGAAAAAUCCAAGGCAAAUUAAGAUAGGAUAAUUUUAUGCUUUAAAUAAUUGAUAAAUAAAACUUAAUUUUCAUGAGUUAUUUGUUCAUCUUCUUUGAACAUGAUGAUGGGUUUUCUUAUGGUUUUGAUUUGUGAUAAUCCGACAUUUAUUUAUUAGUUCUUAGGACAUUAGGGUGCUUUAGAGACUUGAAUGGUUAAAUUGAGCCCUGUUGCGAAGAAGUAAGAAUAUGAAUUUGGGGAUUAUCUUCUAUUUGAUUGCUUAAAACAUCUAAAGAAAUAUGACAUUUGACUGCUGUUAGGCAGUCAAGCUCAUGGAUAUUCUGGUUUCUUGAUAAGGUACGGUAUGGACUGCUAGGCUUAUCUCGAAACCUGGGUCCAGUGUGUUUUGUUCACUUCACUUCUACAUUGAAAGUUUUCACCAAUAUAGUGUGUUUUUACUCCUGCCUAGUGUCGUCCUUGUUGGCUGCGAUCAUGGAUGAAAACUUUCUUUAUGCUGAUAUUGCUAAUUCGUUUGUUUGUUUAUUUAAGAAUUUGCAAUUGUUUCUUGUAGCAGUGACUUUGCGCAACUAUGGCUGGUAUUGAGCAAUGUGAGGCAAAUGAUUCUGCUUCUUCUCUGAUAGAGCAACUUUAUGAGGCGUUUCAUGAACUGGAAGCUUUCAAGGAUGCUUCUGAGAACAAGGUUCAUUGGACAGAAAUUGAACAAUAUUUCCGCAAUCUUGAGGUGACAUUAAAGAAGAAAUCUGAAGAGCUUGUAGCUAAGGAGAAGGAAUAUGAGGUGAAAGAAGCUGAAACCCUUGCGUUGAUUGUUGAGAAGGAGGCAGUUGUUGCUACUAAGGAACAAGAUUACUUAGACCGAGUGCAGGAGCUAAAAGAUGCUGCUGUUGCUGCAAUUGCUGAGGCAUGUGCAAAUUUCCGACCAACAACUGCAGAAUCUCUUGAUGCUGCAGAAAAUGGAGACACCAAGGUAAGCAGUUCUGUUGGUGAUAAAAAAUCUCCCGAUGAGGAGUUUCCUCGUAAAACAAGUGAAAUUACUGAAAACAUGGCGGCUGAUGUUAAGUCGCGUCCAGAGCUUACCCACUUUUGUGAGCAAAUGGAUGCAAAAGGACUUCUGAACUUUUUAAUGGAGAAUCAGAAAAUUCUGAAUGACAUUUGUCGGGAACUUCCCCUUGCACUUGAAAGUGCAAGCGAACCAGCCCGUUUGGUACUGAAUUCACUGGAGGGGUUUUACCCUCCGGACGAAACAAGUCAAACGGUGGAUAAGACAGAUGCUGCCCUGCAGGGCAUGCGCAAAUCCUGUGUCGUCUUAUUAGAAGCCAUGGCUAGUUUUUUGGCCAGAAUCGACCCUGGUGAUACUCACCUUCUGAACCCUGAAAUCAAGCAGCUAGCCAAGGCAAUUGCUGAUGAGUGGAAACCUAAGUUGUCUAAUGCAGGCAGUGGUGCUGCCAUUGACAAUUCAUUGGAAGCUGAAGCCUUUUUGCAGCUCCUUGCUACUUUUAGGAUCGCUUCGGAGUUUGACGAAGAACAACUCUGCAAGCUUGUUUUUGUAGUUGCUCACCGCCGGCAGGCACCUGAGCUUUGUUGUUCCAUUGGAUUAACACCGAAAAUGCCAGGUUGGUAUGGAGGCAGGACCAUUGUUUCCAUACGAUGUGUCUCAAGUUGAUAAUGCUAAUGUAUCUCUAACUUGCUUAUGACUAUACCACUGUUCGGUAUCCAUUUGCUAAACUGAGUCUUACCAUGGCAGGCCUUGUUGAGUUAUUGAUUAACAGCGGGAGACAAGUCGAUGCGGUACGAUUUAUUCAUGCCUUCCAGCUUACUGAAAAGUUUCCUCCUGUGCCCCUCUUAAAGAUGUACUUGAAAGAUUUGCGGAGAAACUCACAAGGGAAGGGCGGGAAUUCUCGUGGUGCUGCUGGUUCACAGGUAACGUAUGCUUAUACCAAAUGAAGACCUGAUUCUAUGAAUUUUCUCUAUAGAAAAAUACCGACAGGCAGUUUCCUCUUCGUAUACAGGAUGACAUAAAUGCACGAGAGCUCGCGGCCUUGAAAGCUGUAAUAAGAUGUGUUCAAGACUAUGGCCUAGAAGCUGACUACUCCCUUGAUCCACUCCAGAAAAGGUUGGCUCAACUCGAAAAAGCAAAAGCAGACAAUAAGAAAAGAGGGGGGGAUUCUGGUAAACAUCACCCGCGGAAGAAAUCAAGGCCCAAUGGUGGAUUUCGAGGAUAUCGGGGACCUCCAGGUAGGCAAGCUCCACUGGUUUACAACCAGAGGGCUGCAUUUACAGGAAUGCCGGAAAGGUAUACUCAUGCAGGUCCGAAUCCCUACAAUUAUCAAAUACCGAAUCAACCUGCAUAUGUCCCUCAAGCGAAUGAUCAAAGAUUAUACUACUAUUCUCAAGAUGACAAAGUUGCAACGUCGUCAUAUAAUGCAGCAGCUACUUCUAACUAUGGUAGCUACAGUGGCAGCGGAUUGCAACCAUCGCAUUCACAGCAGCCAUUUCUGUAGUUCUUUUUAAUAUUAUAAGUUUAUCAUAGAUGCAUGUUCAGUUUAUCAUUAGAUUUUUUGCCCACUGUGGUGCUAACUUCCAAUAUUGCCCCCCAACCCCCUUUUUUUUAAUCCAUAAUUUAACAGAUUUUUCUUGAGGCUUUGCCUUCAAAACCAUGUUCAAUCUUCUUUUUAUUAGUUUCUUUUGUUAGUUCCUAAUAUGCUCUUAAACCUUAAUCUAUUCGGCUAAUAAUAUAGGGCAAAUUUUAUGAUUAGGUCAAACCCUUCUCAGUUAAUUAUAAUGACUAUUUUAAUGUUUUUAUUUUAGUCAUGAGGUUGUUAAAAUUGUUGUUGUAUGAUGUUUGCAUCAAUCGAAAGUAAUUCUUAUCCAUUUUUUCUGUUACAGUUUUGUUUUUUCAUAAAACUACUUUAAAUGUCACAAAUUUGUGGAUUAGAAUCGAAAUAGUUUUUUUAUUCGAUUUAAGAUAUUGAUUGUGGAUCUAACGUUUGUUAUUCCACUUGUUAAUGGGUAUCGAGUCAUUGUGCCAAUUAUCGAAUUGUUGUUUGGAGCUGCUAGCCGAGUUUUUUAUAAAAAAAGAAAACUUAACGACCUAGUGAUUUAAAUAAAAAUUUUCGAACAGUUUAGUGAUUUAAAUGAAAAUUUUCGAAUAGUUCAAUAAUAUUCUUAUAACUUUUUGAAGUUGAAUAAUUAAAAUAUAAAUUUACUAAUAGUUUAAUGAACUUAGGUGUAAUAAUAAUAAUAAUAAUAAUAAUAAUUUCAUUCGUUGUUAUUUCUCCAUCUUAUCAUACAAUUUCAUUCGUUAUUAUUUCUCUAUCUUAUUUAUGAUAAACCCAGUAAUAAUAGACACGAAUGACACGAGUAUACAAAUAUUUCAUUAGAUUCACGCAACUAAUAUAUUUUUAUAGAUGAAUGUAUCUGAUUGAUUGAGAGACCAUUUUAUUAUAGGACCUAAUUAAAUUAGUUCUUGUAUUAUUAAAAAGAAUUAAAUCAAGUCAAAUUGGAAAAUAGUUAACAUUUACUGUUUAGAAAAUAACAUUUAUUGUUUAAUAGAGUUAAUAUUUUUACAUUUUUGUUAUAGUUUUGUAAUAAAAUAUUUUGUUUGGAAUUGAACUAUAAUUGAAAAAAAUUCAAGAUAUUUUUUAUACAUUAAAUGUUAACUUUGUUACACUUUGGACUAAUUUGAUUAUUUCUAGUAGUAUAAAGACUAAAUUGAUUUAUUUAAUAAUAGAGCGACUAAUUUGAUCUAAUCCUUAUAAACUAGGGACCUUCCAAAUACUUUAACCUAUUUUUAUAUCAUUUUGAGAAGAUUGAAAAAAAAUCCCUCCAUUUGAAAUAUUCCUUAAGGUAAAAAAAAAAAAAAAAACCAAUUAGUUCCUCGUAAAAAAAAUCAUCCAAUUGAGCCUUUAAUCCUGAAGCACUAAUCAAUUAAACCUCUCCACAACAUAAAUCUACCGGAUUAGAGUCAAAUCUAAUAGGGGAAUCCAUAAAUUGAGUUAAUACGAUAAUAGGGGUUUUAAUUAGAAAGAAAUUUCAAUUAAUCAACUUAGUGUCAGUUGCUCUUAGUCUUGAAGAGAGAUAUUAACAUAAUUUAGUGAUUUAUGCGGAUCAAUGUAUUAAGUGAAUAAAUUGUUUAAUUUAGAUUGAUAAUGACAGAUGCAGUCUAGGCGGAUUCUUUCUUGGGUAUUGUUUCGCUUCUUGGUUAUUAUUCAAUUAUUUUCCUGAUUUAUUCUUUGUCGAGUUCUUAGUUAAUUAAUUUAGUUAAUUUUAGUUUAAUUCAAUCAUUUCAAUUUGUCGGUUAAAUAAUAGAAAGACGGUAAUUACUAGUACUUUUAGUCAUCGUGGGAACAAUAUCUUUGCUUAAUGUAGCUAUACUAUUUAUUGAUAGUUGCACUACUGCACUUGCCUUUGUCGUAUUUUUAGUUGGUUUCGUGGACAUCAACCAAUCACUGUGGAUUCGACGCUAUUACUCUAUAUUGCUAUUUAGUGUUAUUUUAUCGUUUGAAUUUAUAUUUAGUGUUUUUGACGUCCAUGAACUUGUGAACCCUUUAACUUUACUUGUAGAGUCUCAAAACUCAUGACAUUGUACCAAAUAAUUUCCCAAACAUUAAAUUGAAAUUUUAAUAAAUAUUAGAAAAAUUAUUUGGUAUACUGCCACUGAAGUUUUUAAAUUCCACAAGUAAUAUCAGAAGUUGACAAGUGUUUUGAAAAAGUAUAAUAAGAUAUUAAAAAUAUAUACUAUAAAUAAUACAUGUGAAUUUUUUAAAACUACUUAAAAAUAAAAAUAAAAUACAUUUUCAAUAUAUCAAGCAUAAAUAUUUUUUUUUUACCCAGAUGUGUCUUGAAUAUUCUCAUUAGUUGUGGCAACUGAUAUUGCAAUUACAAUUUUGUAGAAAACAUAAAAACGCAUUAUAUAUAUAAGGUUGUUUUUGUUGAAUGUUUUCUAUUUUGGAGAUGGGGGUCGUGGUGGGAGGGCGGCAGGUACUGGGUCAGCAGGUGAUGGCGUGAUUGCUGAGUUGACCGCGGCAGGUACUGCGAUGGCAGGUGACGGUGGGAUUUCCUUGGCGGCGGCAGGCUCAAGUACUUCAGGCUUAUCCACAUUAAAGGACGCUGAUUUUGUUGGCACAGGGGUGGCGCUUCGCCCGUAAAGCCUUCUAGAAAGCUUGGAAAUGACUAAGGUCGCCAUUGUCACCGAUGGUACGAAAACUACAUCCGGAAUCGUCUUUAUCACGCUCAAAUGAGGCAAAAAUUCUCCCGCUUUCUUCGCUGCCAUGGCUGCUGGCGGCGUCACUAUUCCCGUUAUUAUGGUUGUGUUAUCGAGCUGGCUAAGUUUUAUUUCCUGGAUAAAUUUCAUAAAUAUCUUCUUCUUUUUCUCAGGGUCUUUUUCGUUUUCCCAUGCUUUAAAACAUUUCUGAAAUUGUUGAUUUGAUUUUGAUGAGAGGGAAGUUCUAUCUAAUGUUUCAAAAUUAAUAUAUAUAGAAUAGACUGACCUCGACUUCACGGCGAGAUGGGGCAUCAUAAUGUUUACCAGGUAAUGCUGCGCUAAUAACACUGUACAAUCAACGCAACAAAAUAAAAACCAUUACUAUAAAUUUGCAAACCAUAAUUGCCAUAUAUAGGCUAUUUUACCAAAAUAGUCCAAAAAAAUAUUAUAUUUACAAAAAUAAUCCAGGUUUAAAAACAAUCACCAAAAUAACCUAAAAUGAAUAGUGAAAUGGGGUUGUGGCUUGUCAAUGGUCAAAACCAUCUCGUAUUUUGGACCAAUGAUUGCCUGAUAAUUGUGUCAAACUUAAAAAAAAUGAUUUUUUUGGUUUUGGCCUGUCAAUGGCCGGAAAGUGUAUUUUUUUUAAAUUGUAAAAUACUGGUAUACAAAAAAGAAAAAAAGAAAAAAAAAAUUUUGGGUGCUGGCCUGUCAAUGGUCGGCACCCCCUGUAUACGAAUUUUUUUUUUCAGGUAUUGGUCUGUCAAUGGCCGGCACCAGAAUACAAAAAAAGUAAAAAAAAAAUUUUGGUGGCCUACCAAUGGCCGACACCACCUUUAUUGAUUUUUUUUUUACUUUUUUCGUGUCAAUGGCAAGCACCAGUAUACGAAAAAAGUAAAAAAAAAAUUUGGUGGUGGCAUGCCAAUGGCCGGCACCACCUUUAUGGAAAUUUUUUUUUACUUUUUUCGUGUCAAUAGCUGGCACCAUUUUUUCGUAUACUGGUGCCGGCUAUUGACAGACCAAAAGUAAAAAAAAAUUUUUUGGGGAAAAAGGUGUUACCGGCCAUUGGCAGGCCACCACCAAUUUUUUUUAUUACUUUUUUCGUAUACUGGUGCCGACCAUUUACAGACCAAAAGUAAAAAAAAAAAUUUGGGAAAAAGGUGGUGCCCGCCAUUGGCAGGCCACUACCAAUUUUUUUUUUUACUUUUUUCGUAUACUAGUGCCGGCAAUUAACAGACCAAAAGUAAAAAAAAAUUGUGAAAAAGGUGGUGUCGGCCAUUGGCAGGCCACCACGAAUUUUUUUUUACUUUUUUCGUAUAUUGGUGUCGGCCAUUGACAGACCCAAAGUAAAAAAAAAUUUUGGAACCACCAAAAUUUUUUUUUUAACUUUUUUCGUAUACUGGUGCAUGCCAUUGACACGAAAAAAGUAAAAAAAAAAUUCUCAUAAAGGUGGUGCCGACCAUUGGCAAGCCACCACCAAAAACAAAUUUUGUUUUACUUUUUUCGUAUACUGGUGCCUGCCAUUAACACGAAAAAAGUAAAAAAAAUUUAAAUAAAGGUGAUGCCGGCUAUUGACAAGCCACCACUAAAAAAAUAUUUUUUUUUGUUUUUUUCGUAUUUUGGUGCCGACAAUUGACAGACUAAUACCCGAAAUUUUUUUUUCGUAUACAGGGGCCGGCACCCAAAUUUUUUUUUUCGUUUUUUUUCUUUUCUAUAUACCAGUAUUAUACAAUUUAAAAAAAAAUACACAGCUUCCGGCCAUUGGGAGGCCAAAACAAAAAAAAUCAUUUUUUUAAGUCUGACACAAUUAUCAAGCAAUCAUGGGUCCAAAAUACGAGGUGGUUUUGGCCAUUGACAGGCCACAACCCCAUUUCACUGUUCAUUUCAGGUUAUUUUGGUGUUUCUUUUUAAACUUGGGUUAUUUUUGUAAAUAUAAUAUUUUUUUGACUAUUUUGAUAAAAUAGCCCCAUAUAUACAUUACUUACUUCAAGAUAUCAAGAAUGGCGGCAUGAAAAUCAUCGAAGCUGUUGAUUUCUGAUUCGGUGAACUGUUCAUGAAGAGAUUUAAACACAUAGCUUAACAUCUGUGUAGAUGGCAGCCCUGUCAUGAAUUCAAAACUCAAUCUUAGGGCUCUAGAUAUUAUUUGAGAUUGAAUUAAGAAAAUGGGUAUUUUUAAAAAGAAAAAAAAGCAUACCUUUUCCCAUGAAACGACCCAUUGAAUUGCCCAUGUUAAACAGAUCCUUGAAAGAAAGAAAGAAACUUGAGACAAUAUAAGAAGAUCCAACAAUGAUAUAUUUAUAUGCAAAGAAUGGAAAAAAAGAGAGUUAGGGUUGUUAGUUCAUUUGUAAAGUUAAAGCAAGGAAUCCAUCAUCUUUUCAAGUUACAUAUUAUAUAUCUUAAACAACUUUAUUCCUGUCUUGUAAGUUGUUCCUACCAAAACCAAUAGUAAAUAAAAGAUGUUUUUCUUUAUCAAACCAUUAGCUUAGUGUUUUGUUUGUUAUAUUCCUCACAUUGCUAUGCACAUCAGCUUAUUUUUAUAUCCUUACCGAUAAUUAAUGAUUUAGAUCCAAAACGUAACAAAUUGAUAACAUUGAUGAUUGUAUGGUAACUAUUGAUGAGAGGUAUCAACAUGGGAGAAGGUAAGGCGAAGCAAGUGGUGGUGCAAAGGAGACCAAUUUGUCGAAACCACUCAUUUUUUUUGAAUUUGAAAAAAAAGGGAAUCGACUUUGAAGAUGAAAACAGGAGUUGCCACUAUCUUUUACUAAGGUGUGAUCGGUUCACCAUUAAAAAUAAAUUUUAGGUCUGCGAUAUUUGAGAAAAUAGGUCUGGGAGUCGGUUACACACGAGGAAGGGUUAGCACCCUCGUAACGCCCAAAAUUGGUACCGAAUCGAUUGUUUAAUGUCUUAGUGUCGAAUUUUUGAAAAGAUUUUAAAAUACGAUCCCUUGAAAAGAAAAUUUGAAUAAACCAAUUUGAAUGCACUCAUUUUGAAGAAAUAAAGUGCUACACUCAGUGAGUUAGAGUGCAACAAUUCAAUCGUCAAAAUUAAGUAUUUUCAAAUUUCCAAAUGAAUUUUGAAGAGGUUGUUCGGUCAUUUAAGUCAAACGAGAAAUCAAAAUCCAGUAAGUUAGGUUUUGAUUUCUCGGAGUUCUUAAACAUCAAACAUUGCCUUUCUUUUAAAAUCAGGAUAACAAAAUGUCACAUCCAGUAAGUUAGGAUCCAACAAUUUGAAAUCUCAAAAGCUUUAUUUUGAAAACAUAAGGUUUUUUAUCACCAAAGAGAUGCUCGAUUACCCAAAUUCAUCAAAAAAAAUUGAAGCCUAGUAAGUUAGGGUACAAUUCUCUCGCGAAUUAUGAAUGUCGAGUAUUAUAACAUCUAAAAGGGAUAUCGAAACUUAAACCAUGUUAAACACAAAAUUUUAAAAAAGGAAAUUCGGUGGAAUAAUUUACAAUAUUAAGCAGUCAUUUGUAAUCAAAAUGCAUUCUAAUGAUCUACGAAUAAUUAACAAAUACAAACAAGCAAUACAAUACACCUAAGAGCAAAUCUCACAUCAUAUAUUAUGUUAACAUUUAAAAGCUAAUGAAUCUAAAGUCCAUCAAAACACUAAAUAAAUGAAUGCACAUGAAAAUGUACAAAUUUUUAAAAUAAUUUAGGAUGUAUGAAAAAAGAAAUUAUAAUUCAAAUAAAUUGAAAAUAAAUAAUAUAUAUAAGAAUUUGAAAUAAAUCACAAUUAUAGUUAAAAAACAAUUGUCAAAUGGAAUAAUAAUAUCCGAAUAAAUAAAAAAAUAUCAUAAUUAAAGAAAAUAACAUAUAUUUAUUAAUUUAAAUAAAUAAUAUUUGUAAAAAAAAGGAUAAUAACAUAUAAUACAUAAAAAUGAAAUAAGUGAAAUACACCAAGGAGGUUUUUUUUAAUGGAAUAAAUUACGUAUGUAUUAAUAAUAAGUAGAAAAUACAAUAAUAAAAUCAAUAAUAUACAUUUGUGUGUAAAAUAAACAUAAUUUGAUAUAAAUUAUAUAUACAUAUGUGUAAAAAAUGGUAUUAUAUAAGGGCAUUAUUGAUUUUUUUAAGCACUAAAGUAUAUAUGAAUAAACAUUUUAAGAAAAAUGUAUUAUAAAAAUAUAUAAAUAAUAAUUAACAUAAAAUAUAGGCUAAUAUAUUAGAAUAGAAAAAGAAUUAAAAUAACAAUAUGUAAUGAAAUAAAAUAAUGUACAUGCAUAUAUAUGUGAAAAUAAGUAACUAUGUAUGCUAAGAUAAUAAUAAUAACAAUAGUAAAGAUAAUAAAUUAAAUGAUUUUAGCAAUAACAAUAAAACAGAGGACAAAAUUGGCAUUAAAGCAGUAAUGCAGGGGAGAAAUCUAAAACAAAUAAAAGAACGGGUCCAAAUCGCAAAGCGCGAACGACAUGGGGGACCGAAAGGGGAAUAUUCCCCACCCUCCAAAACCCGAUGUUGCAAGCUAGACCAAAAUGAAAUGAAAACAGAAUACGAGGCCAAAUCAGAAAGAAAGAAAACACUUGAUUCAAAAGCACCAGAAAAUGGGAAGUGCUGGCAGCACAAAUAUCCCUCCCUACGCCAGAACACGCGGAUCUAGCCGCGUCUGGGUCGGGUCAUCGGGUCGUGGCCUAAAUGGCACCGUUUCAGGGCCAUUAAAUCCAGCCCAAACGGUGACGUUUCAUGAUUUCCCACUUAACCAACGUUAAAGCUACAUUACCCUAAGCAGAAAAGAAAAGAAAAAGAUAAAAAAAACAUAGAAAUAUAUUAACAUGAAAAACCUAAAGAGAACUAAGGUUCUCUGCACCGUUCUGGGUGUUAGAGGUACCCUAGUAGCCAUUGAUCCUAGCCCCUGCUCCGAUGACGUCGAAGAGAGCCAGGAUCGCGCUACCAGGUACGCUUCCUUCCCCCUCUUCUUACUAUUCCUUUUUGAAACAAUAGUUGAUGAACAUAAAGAUGGGAAAAGAAAAUAAAGAGAAGACUCAAGUAACCAGCACAAAAUAGAAAGAAAAACUCAGAAAAUCACCUUUCUUUGCUUUUGAUUUUUUGUAUUCUCAAAUUUUUUUUGUGUAUUCAAUGCGUGUCCCUUUUUACAGUAUUCGAAUGGCCUUUCUAUGGCCUGAAUUUCAAAAUGAAAUGAAAAUAAAAGAAAAGAAAAUGCUCCCCCCAAAUCCCCUCUGUUGCCCCUAUUCUGCUAUCUUUCUCUGCUUGUUUUCGUGUGUAUUUUGCAGGUACGAGGGCAGAGGUCGACGUGGAGGUACGGAGGCAGGGGCGCAAGCGCAUGAGGCUUGUCACGUAGCAGUGGCGCACGUGCGAAGGGGAGAUUGCUGAGGCGCUGGGAUCCUUUACUGCUAGGGUUUUCGGUGCUUGGGCUGGGUAUUGGGUUUGUGAUACUUGGGUAGGGUUAGGUGACUUGGGUCUUUUGGGCCACUGUAAUCGGGUUAUGAAAAUUGGGUUUGGUAUUUAGAGGUUGGGCUUACUGUAUUGGGUUGUAACUGGACUGUGGACUUUUAAUUUUAAAUUUGGUUUUAUUUUAUUCAUUUGUUUAUUUGGUUUAUUUCACUAACGGGCCCGACAGAUUGGGCCUAUUACACAAUUCAUUUAGAACUAAAGAAGGACAAGAAGAAGUGGAAGGUUGUUGUGAAGGUUGAGAAGGCUAAAUGCAGAGAGCAUUAGGGGCGAAGCUAGAAUAACUUUUUAAGGGGGCAAAUAAAAUUUUAAUUUUUUAGUCUAUAUCUUUAUAACUUUUAAAGGAUUAAAUCAAAUUUUUAUAAUUUUAAGGGGGCCAAAGUACAAUUUUACCUUUACUAAUUUAAAAUUUUAAAAAAAUUAGAAAGCCUAAAUGGUAAUUUUUCAUUUUAGGGGGGGUCGGGGCCCAUGCCAAUCCCCCUAGAAUCGCCUCUGGAGAGUAUGUGCUCAAGGAUGCCAAUGAGAAGAAGACUCCUUUUCUUUUGUCUUCGAGGAUAUUUAUAGGAGAUAUCCUUUUGUCUAGUAGUGGUGACAUGACAGACUAUUACCAAGGAGUUGCCAUCAUGGAGUGCAUGGGGAACAUAUGUGGUGAGAUCUAUUCUGUUAUUCUCUUUGAAGUAGUACAAGGUUGGUUAUACUUAGGUGGAGCCUAAUAGUUUUUGAGACAAGACGUGGGGGACAUACGUGGUGGCACUCAUUCUAACCAUAGCAACGGAUGGCUUGAUGUAAGGAGCGUUCCUAUCAACAACGGAUGGUCCUACAUGAGUUAACUCGAUCAUGAGAUUGAGCGGCUGAUGACAUCCAAAGGACGAGAGGUGGAGAACCUUUUGUGAUAUCUUUCCGAUGUUCUCUAAGUGAAGAAAUACAUGUAUGAAGAAUUACAGAUGAAAUUGUGAAUCUAAGAAUGAAAAUAAUCUGGAACUAAAAAUGAAACUUCACUUUUAUCAAUUAUGAAUUUAGACUACUUAACUCCCAAAUGCUCUACCAAGACAGUAUAUAUAUAGACUUUGAGAUAACUGCUCUUAUUAACAUCUAGCUAACAAUUUUAGCUAACUCUAACUACCUCCCUAACCGACUCAUUUUAUCUUUAACAUUCACUCAUCUUCCCCACGGGCAAGACCCGAAGAAGAUUUCAAAACCGAGUGAAAUAAGAAACCAAGAGUGGCUUAGUAAGCACAUCAACCACUUGAUCAGACGUAGGAACUUCACCAACCAGAAUCGAUCCUUCACCAACCUUUUCAUGAACAAAAAAUAGAUCCAACUCCACGUGUUUAAACUUGGAGUGUAGAAUAGGAUUAGCAGCAAAAGCUAUCGCACUGGAACUAUCACUCCAAAUAUUAGGCGUAUCAUCAGACUUAACAUUUAAUUCCUGAAGUAACAACAACAACCACAUGACAUCGCUGGUGACUACAACAAGACUUCUGCAGUCAGCUUCAGCUGUUGAUCUAGAGACCACCUGCUAUUUCUUGGAUUACCACGAAACUAGAUUUGACCCAAAAAAUACACAAUACCUUAACGUGGAUCGUCAAUCAUCAAAGUCCAAUCCCUAGUUGGCAUCAGCAUACCCAACUAGAGACAGCUGUCUAGAUGGGCAAACAACAAUCCCAUGGUCAAGUGUGCUAGACAAGUAUAGCAAGAUCCGCUUGAGAGCAACCAAAUGAACAGUGUUAGGAUUAUGCAUGAACUGCAAAUCCUGUUUACUGCAUAUGCAAUACCAGGCCUAGUAAGAACAACAUAUUGUAAUGCUCCAGCAAGACUCCUAUACUCAGUCAGAUCUGACAGAGGAUCGCCAUCACCCUUAGACAUAUUUGAUGAGCUAAUCAUUGGCGUAUGAACACUUUUAGCAGUAGACAUAGAAUUUCGUUCAAGAAUAUCACGGGUAUACUUCUUUUGACAAAGAUGAAGACAAUCGGAAGAAGAUCGAGUCACUUCAACCCGAAGGAAAUAAUGAAGGUCACCCAUAUCUUUUAACGAGAACUCAUCAUUCAAUAACUUCACAAACCAGUCAAUAAAAGUAGGCACAUCCCUAGUAAUGAUAAUAUCAUUUACAUACACAAGAAUGUAGAGUGUAGAAUCAAGUCGUACACGAACAAAUAAUGAAGCAUCCAAUUUUGAGCCAAUGAAGCCAACUGUCACAAGAAACUCCUUUAACUUUUCAAACCACGCUUGUGGAGCUUGACGAAGACCAUAUAAAACUUUUUUUAGACGACACACCAGAGGUUUCCCAUCAGAACUAAACUGCACAUAACCUGGGGGUUGUUGCAUGAAUACCUCACUAUCAAUAUCACCAUUUAAGAAAGCAUUGUUCACAUCAACUUGUCGAAGUGACCAACCUCUAGAGACCGCAAUAGACAAGAUAACCCUGAUAGUGGCAGGUUUCACCACUGGACUGAAUGUUUCCUGGAAAUCACAACUUGGAACUUGAGAACAGUCUUUUGCAACUAAACGCACUUUACGACGAUCAACAGACCCAUCUGGAUUUCUCUUGACCUUAAACAACCAUUUACACCCUAUAACCUUAUAACUCGGUGGUAGAGCAAUAAGAUCCCAUGUAGCAUUGCGAAUAAGCGCAUCAUACUCAGCUUGAGCUGCAUCAUGCCACUCAGAGCUAGCAAACGCCUCCUCAAUCGUAGAAGGUUCCACAGCCUCAACAGUUAUGACUCUUGGUUUAAACACACCAACCUUUGAUUGAGUAAUCAUUGGAUGAACAUUUGUAACAGGCAAAGAAAUCUCUGGUCUUGUAGGAGCAGGCAGAACCUCAAUAGGAUGUGAAAUCUCUGGUCCUGUAGGAGCAGAUGGAACCGUAAUAGUGGGUGUAGUGAAUUGAUCAUUAGUAGUUGGUGUAGUAGAAGACGAACCAAUAGUAUCAGCGUUUGGUGAGCUAAAACUGAUAGGUGCCAGAGCAGUAGCUAUUCCAUCCUGAGGAACUGAAGACCUGUUCGAUGAACCUGAAGAAGUAGAUACAGACACUAAACCUUCAGACUGAAAAGGGACAGUCUUGACCAGAGGAACACAUGUGGGAAAAGUGACCGAUACACAACCAGACCCCUACAUAACAGAAGACAGAGAGAGAAAUUGUUGUUCAUCAAAUUCCACAUGACGAGAAAUUAUAAGCUUACCAUCAGGUAAGAAGCACUGAUAUCCCUUGUGACGAAAACUAUAUCCCAAGAAAGUGCAGGGCCGAAACCGAAACUCUAACUUAUGUAUCUGAAACGAUCGCAAAUACGGAUAACAACAAUACCUAAAAACACGUAAAUGGUCAUACUUGAGAUCAUGUCCAUAAAGAGCUCUAUACGGGGUUUAUCCGUUCAGUACCAGCAUGGGAAGACGAUUAAUCAGAUGAACUGCACAAGUAAACGCAUAUGCCCAGAACUCCAUAGAAAGACCCGCUUGUGUCAGAAGAGUAAUCUCCAUAUCCACAAUGUGUCAAUGUUUACGCUCAGCGACUCUAUUUUGUUCAGAAGUAUAUAGACACGUCAGGCGAUGAAUGAUACCUUGAAAAGCGAGAACCGAAGUAAAAGCCCGAUACUCGCCACCCCAGUCGCUCUGAAAUUGUUUUAUAGUUUUACCAAACUGAGUUUGAACUAAUUUCUAAAAUUGGCCAAAAUAAUCCACAGCCUGAGAUUUUUGUCGAAUCAGAUAAACCCAAGUGAACCGAGUACACAUAUCAAUAAAUGGCACAUAAUACAAAUUGUUAGCACAAGCAAUAGUCGCAGGUCCCUAGAGAUCAUAAACAACCAAAGUAAAAGGAUCAGUAUACUCAGUAGUUGAAGCAGAAAAUGACAAUUUAUGAAACUUUUCUUUUUUACAACCAGUACAAAUACUAUCAAUAGAAACUUUAUUCAAAUUGAUAUGACAGUUAUUAAGAACAAUCUUGACAACCGAAGUGGACGGAUGGCCAAGACGUUUGUGCCAUAACAAAAAAAUCUCACUAUCAUCAGUCUUAUUCUAAAUUCCAACCUGAGCAGCAUACGGAUUUAUAGUAUUUGGAGCAGAUGCUUCUGGUAGAGAAAAAUGAUACAGCCGAUUAUGAAUAUGCCCCAUCAACAGAAUUUGCUGUGUUAUGUUGUCCUUAAUAGCACAAUAUGUGGGGUGAAAUUCAAAAAAUACACCAUUAUCAGUUGCAAAUUGAGACACCGUAAAAUUUUUUUUUGUAUGACUAGGACAUACAAAACAUUAGAUAACCGAAGCAACCUAGAAUGCAUAGGUAAAACACGCUGACCAAUUGAUGAAAUCAUAGCAGGCGUUCCAUUACCCAUUAAAAGAGAAAAUGUACCUGAAUACGGGACAACAUCUCGCAAUGCUGAAGAAUCCUGAUAGACAUGAUUACUAGCACCAGAUUCAGGGUACCAAGAUGUAGUGCCAACCGGCCCAGGAACAGGUGAGUCUGUGCCAUCACCACUGGUCUCAUGAUGAUGAGUAGUGUUAAUAGAAGGGUCAGAGUAAUCAGACGCAUGGAUAUCACCAAGUCGAGGAAGCCCAAUACAUACACGAGCCCACGGUUUAGUACACCGCAAAACUGCUACACCACCCGACGGUUGACCAUGUGGCCUGAAAGUAAUAGAUGGAUCAAUCUGCAAAUUAUUAGAAACAAGCUCAGUGGCCAUUGGAGGGGUAGACGACCUAUUACCAUGAGUAGGCCCAAAGCCACCAUCUAGCCCACUAUUAAGCACAAAACCAGACAGCCCAUGAUGAAGACCAAACGAGGGUGGUCCAGAACGUUGAGGCCUAGUCUUAUGUGUUAUCAAGGGCCCAGUUGGCCCAAGUGAUGCAUGCGGCCCACACCAAUUGGACAACCCAACAUGCGGCUGACAAUACCAACCCCACUGUUGACCAUCACAAAAAUUUGUACCAUCAGCAUAACAAUUUUGACUAGCCCCAUAAGCAUUUUGACCAGCCUCAUAAGCACUUUGACCAAGAUUAGAAAACCUAGGUCGUGUGUUUUGCUAGGAAGGCCAACCAUGAGGGCCAGAAUCAUCAACAGUUGACAUCAGAAAUCUUGCCAGAGAAGCUUAAUCACGAUGGUACCGGUAGUAGCAACGCUGGGCGACAUGACUGAAUCUGGAACAGAUCUGGCAUUGGAGAUGAGACCGGAAGCUUCUACUACGACUGUGCGAACUUGAACGGCCACCAUGUGUAGAGCCAUCUACGGCCGACGGCGAAGAAUCUUUCACCAGAUUUGCGGCAUACACGACCUCCCGAUCUGCUUGUACCUAACGAUUCUCAUAUUCAACCAGAGCAUCCACUAGACGUUGAAAAGGUAAAGUAGUCGGAGAUAACGAAGUAGCACCGCAAGCAGAGGGAAGGCUCGCAAACAGCUCCGCCGUUCGCUCCACCGUCGAGAUGGAAGAUCUAGAUACUUCCAAGAGUGCACACAUCCCUUUCAACUUCACAACAUAAUCUCGAAUCGACAGACUCUCUUUCUUGAGGGAAUGAAAUUCAUGAUGCAAACGUGAUUGUUUCAUAUCUGUAUCGGCUGCAAAUAGUGCCAACGCCGUUGUCCACACAUUAGAGGCCGAUUGUACAUCCGUGAAAGAAGAUAAAAUCGACGAGCUAAUUGUAGAUAAGAGCCACGACGUGAGCAUAUUAUCCUGCUGUUGAAAUGCCGAAGCCACUAGAUUAAGCAUAAGAGCACCUUCAAGUGACUGCAGAAACCUCGGCGGAGCAGAAAGAGAACCGUCAACAAAGCCAAACAAAUCAUAACCAUUGAAAAUAAAACGAACCUGUUGUUUCUAUUGAACAAAGGUUCCCUCAUCGAGCUUUACAACAUCAUGUCGAGGAAAGGAAUUGACGAUGCGAUCAGCAGCAAAAACCAAUCCAUGCGGUUCAACAGAGUCAGAGGCAACAGAAUCCGUAGUAGCCAUGAUCAAGGAUCACCGAGCGAUUGAUACCAUGAAGAAAUACAGGUAUGAAGAAUUACAGAUGAAAUUGAGAAUCUAAGAAUGAAAGUAAUCUGGAACUAAAAAUGAAACUUCACUUUUAUUAAUUAUGAAUUUAGACUACUUAACUCCCAGAUGCACUACCAAGACUGUAUAUAUAUAUAGACUUUGAGAUAACUACUCUUCUUAACAUCUAGCUAACAAUUUUAGCUAACUCUAACUACCUCCCUAACCGACUCAUUAUAUCUUUAACACUCAGAAUGUCACAUGUCAAGUCCAAGUGAAGGUAUGACGUUAACCUUUUAAAAUUCAAUGAUCAAAAUGUAAUUUAAUAUAUCGAUAAUAGAAUAUGUGAAGAUUAUGAUCAUCCAUUGUAGCUCCCAUAGCCUCUCUCAAAAUGAAUUGGAACUUAAUUUGCCAAUCAUGGAAUCUCAUCUUGGCCACUGCCUGCGCCCAAGAAAAGGUUAUGGACGUUGCAUCCGAGCUAACCACAAUCCAAUUAUCACUUCCACCAUAAUUCGCCUUAAAAUCCUAAAGCCAUAUGCAAUUUUGAGACCUUCCAAUACUGCCCACAGCUUCGCCUGGAUGACUAUAGAGUACCCAACCUACCAGUCACCUCCCCAAGGAGCCACGGGUAACACCACCAACACUCCUAAUGCCCAGAGUAAACAAUCCCUAUCCCUUGGCUUUUCCCAUUGAAUAUGAGCAACCCUCCUCUACCAAUUUAUCGGAACAUCCUUAUUGCACCCUCCAUAUAUCGCAUCUCAUGCCCACGCUAAUAUUAUCUAAUUUAAAAUUUGUAGGAUAAAUAUAAAUAAGUUAGGUUUUUAAAAUUUAAAACACAUGUAAAAACUAAAAAAAAAGUAGUCAAACUUUUUUGUAAAUAUUUUAAAUAAAUAAGAGUCAAACUAAAAGAAAAUAAAUUUCAAACUUUUAAAAUAUUUUGGUUUCAAAUAAAAUCAAAAUAACAAAUUUUUGAGAUUUUGAAAUAUAACAUUUUUUUUUUGAGAUUUUACAAUAUUGUAUUUUGAUAAUUGAUAAUUGUUAUAAAAUAAAAAAGGAAGAAAAGUAAAAAAGGGAUAUCUACAAUAUAAGUCUAUAUUUAUAGAUAUAAGAAGUAUAAAUAAUAUAAAAUUUUAUUUCUAAUCGACAUUAGUGUUUUAAAGUACAUCAAACUUUCUAUUCUAAUAGACAUUCAUUUUUAUAAUAAUAAAAUAUUUAUAACAAUAAUAUAUAUUUUUAAUUAAGCAUUUAUUGUAUUUGCAAUUUGCUAUCAAGUUCAUCUAAUAUAAGUAGAAAUCUAAUAUUUUAUGACAAUAAAAAAUGAUAAUUACAAUUUCUAUAAAUUAAAAUAAAUUAAUAAUUUAUGUUAUGAGUAUUAUUAUUAUUGUUGUUGUUUUUAAAAUUAUAUUUAAUUUAAGUUUGGAUCACUUUAGAUUACUUGUUCGAGUCAUUUUUAAUUUGAGUCUAUUUCAUAUAUGGGUUAAUUUUUUAUUUAACCUAUUUUUCAUGAUUAAAUCAAAGUAAAUUGAAUAGAAAUAUGAGUUAAUGGGAAAGGACUCAAGGAGGAGCGUUGAAGGUUCCCAAUUUUUGAAGGACAACAAAAAUCAGGUGGUCCUCACUAUUUAACACUUGACGUCUCCAUGACUGCUCCAUUGCUUUCAUUACUUUCUUCUUUGUAAAGCCUUUCCCUCUGCUAUUUAUAGUACCUACCUGCCUUCUUUUACUUUUGUUUCUUUACUGCUUUUUUAUUUCAAUCUUUAUUUGUUUCUACAUAGCUUUACAGAGGGUUGUGAGGGAGGAUUUAGACAAUGGGCUCAUCUAAGUUUAGGGUUUAUUUAUCAACCACUUAAACAAUCAUAUAAUUCUAUUCCAAAGAUAUAUCAAUAUUUUAAGUAAAAUAAUUAAAUAAAAUAUUUUUAUAUUUCAAUGGGUUUGUUUCGAUUCGAAUUAAAAUUUUAAUAUUAAAAUUAAUAUUUGAUUUUUACUUAAGGGUAAAUUAUACUAACAGUCACUCAACUUUGGAGUAAUUGACAAAAUAGUCACCUAGGUUUCAUUUUAGUCAUUCAACUUUAAAAAAAUUACAAAACAAUCCUUUUAACCAUUUUUCGUUACAGACGUAACGGCAAAGUGACAUGACAGAUGACAGAUUGCUUGGUGUCAUUAACCGUCUAGUUGGCCGGUUAGCACCAAUUUAAACAACCCCUUUAGCACCAAUUUAGGGUUUAAGCAGUAGAAGAAAAAAAGAAAAAGAAGGAGAAGAAGAAGAAGGAGAAGAGAAAAAUAGAGAUGUUGGUUGUGAUUCCGGUGUACUAUUGUGGAAACCCAGUCAAAUUAAACAUGUCUUGGUCCAAUGACAACCCAAGUAGGAGGUUUUUUUGGAUGUAAGAAGUUUGGGAGUGGGUUUCAAAAACCAUGUCGUUUUUUUCACUUGGUUUGAUCCACCAUUGACGCCUCGUUCACAAAUUGUGUUGUUAGGUCUUUUAAAAAAAGUGAGGACAUUGGAGAAUGCAAGGAGGAGGGAGAGAAAAACAUGGUUUUUGGUGCUUGUAUUUGUAAUAUUAUUGCUAUUUUUUAAACCCUAAACCAGCUUAUGUUGUUGUUAGCACCGAAAACCAGCUUAUGUGGCUGUUGGUAUACUGUUUUGUUAUUCAUUCAUGGUGAGUUGGGUCCUAAAUGUAAUGGCAUAUAAAGGGUAGAAGUUUGCUAAUUUUAAUUGGAGAAUAUUUGGUUAUUGUAAUGGUAUGGUAUUCUUAUACAUUUGUAUUUCAUUUCAUUUGAAUUUCUGAAGGUUUAAUCUUCUUUUAAAAUUUGAAAGAGUAUUUGAUUUUUGUUUUUUAUUUUCUUACAUUGCAUGGUUCAAUGCUCAUAUGUUAGAAGAAAUAAAAUAGAUGAAAAACAAAAAUAGAAAAAUAUUGUAAGGGCAAACUAUUGCCAAAUUUCAUGGAUUAAUGCUCAUAUAUUAAGACCAAUCUGUUUACAAAAGGAAGGGCAAACUAUUGCCAAAUGUGCCUACAACUCAAUACAAUUGAACAAAUAUGAAUUAUAUGCAAAUUUACAAAAAAUAAUCUACCUAAGUUAAUAAAUCAGUAGCAGGUAUAGGAAAAUAUACACAAGUUCAAAAAGUUAACAAAAUAAAGUCUUGUUUACAAUGUCAUCAUUGGUCUGUCACAAAUGACUUUUGAGUAGAAGACAUUCAUCUAACAAUGGUUGGUUUCCUCUUGAAUGGAAGCUUUUCUCUUGGGCAGCAUCUUGUUGGUGAUUUGGGGCUAAUUGUUGAGGAGUUAGGGAAGUUUGUAAUUGAGUUGGGUAGUCUUUUGCUGAUUUGAGGUAGAUUGUUGCUGAGUUAGGGCAACCACUUGGUUGUGAACGCCAACUUUGUGUCUUUUGACCUAUAGGAACAAGUGAAAUCCAUGAAACAAAUUCAUAACUUAAGUAAUAUAAUUAAGCAAAGGCAGAUGACUUACUGGAAUAUUUUUGCCAACUUCCCUUUUGCAACUCCUCUUAUUGUGGCCUAUUUUGUUGCAUUUACUGCACCUCAUUUCCUCCCUUCUCUUGCUCAACAUUUCUGUUGUUUGUGGUUUAUUAGGUUCUUUCCUUCUCACUUUAGUAGGUCUGCCAGGUGGCCUUCUUAGUGUAGGAGGCAGUAUUGACAGCAUGUUUGGCACAGACAACCAUUCCUAAGGACCUCUUACUAGCCUUAUGAAGUUGGAGUAAAUGGCAAGCUAGGUUUGCUUGGUGUACCAGGUUUGUACAUAAGUUUCUAGAAACUCAUCUUUUAGAUGAACGACAGCCACUGCAUGUAUUCAAGGGAUGGCAGUGAGAUCCUAAUUCCUGCAGGAGCAGGAAUUCUCAACUAGGUCCACCACAUGCUGACUGCCUGGACCACAUUCAACCUGAUAGUUGUCCUCAUUAGUAUAUGAUGGAACACACCUAAAAAGCAGACACUAAAGCAAUAUUAAAAAUAACAUGUGAUCAGCCCCACCAAUAAUUAUACAUAAGGUAUAAGUAUAUUUAAAAAAUGGCAGAAUGAAGACAUACAUAUAUUGGUCCAACAACAUGUGAUCAGCCCCAUUAGCAAUUAUAUACAAGGCAGAAUAAAUGCAUCAAUAUACUAAAAAGGGUAAAUUUACCUCAGUGAAUCUUUGAUAUUGACAUCUAGCUUUUUCUUGAUCUUUGGACACAAGAUUCUUUUAAUUUUCUCAGCUUCUUCCUUCUUCUUAACAAUCAGCAACAUUAUAUUGGUCCUAAUUGUUUCCAUCAUUGUCAGAAUAGGUUUCCCUCUUUCUUCCAAUGUCACCUACUAGUAAGCAACAUAAAGGAUUAGUGAACUGCAUGUACUUAAUGAUUAGUAAGUAACAUAAAAAAAUAGGGGUUUACCUUGUUAAAGCAUUCAAAAAGAUUAUUCACCAACAUGUCAAAUUGACUCCUAAUUGAGAAGUGGGACCUUGACUAGUGAGCAGGGUUAUUUUCCUUCAAUCAAUCAUAAGCAUGCUAAUUGGUAUUUUUCAGUUUAGCCAUGACAUCCUCAAAAUCCCUUUGAGUGCUUGCUCUGGCAGUUUUCCAAAGCAAAUAUUUCAAUUCUUUUAUUCGGAAACCAACUUUCUUGAAAUUGGCAUGUAGGUGUCUAACACAGUAUCUUGUUUCUACAUUAGGAAACAAUAUAUAUUGCUUUCAGAAGUCCCUGCAAAUAGAACAAAUAUAGUUUAAUUCUUUGACAUGCCAUAAACCCUAAACAAAAGCAACAUAAAACAAAGUAGACAAAUGGAGUUUUACCUUUUGUUUGUCAGACAUGAAAAAUAUUUGGUAUGAGCUCACAAUUUUCCAAGUCUAGUACGACCAAAUCCAAGAACUAGAGUCAUGAUGCUUGGUUUUCACUUUCAACAGCAGCAUAUGCAAUAGGAUAGAUGUCAUUAUUUGCAUCUAUCCUAAUAACUGCCAAUAGGUAGCCACCAAAGUAUCCUUUCAAGAAACAUUUAUUUAAACCUAUUAUCCUCCUACAACCAACCCUACAGUCAUUUUUGCAUGCCUACAGACAGACAUAUCCUUUGAAACAACAUAUUAUCCAGAUAACAGAUUGUUGUUGUCCCCUCAUUUUGGGUCCUAACCUCCAAAAAAUACUCAUAAUUCUUAUCAUAUUGAACCUUAUGAGCUCCUUCAAUUAAUUUCAAUGCUCUAAGUUUAGCCUUCCUGCAUUUGGUUAGUGAGAUAAGGCAAAAGAAAUCACUUUUAUCAUCUUGUUACAAUGAUGUCAAAGAAUAGUCAAGAUCAAUAAUGAGGUUUUCUUUAUAAUGUUGACCUAUCCAAGAUGAGGUUACAUUCUUAUUUCUAUAGACUUUAGAGCAAGAAUGGUUAGAGUUUGAACUCCUAAUUUUCCAAGUUUGGUCAGUAGGGUCAUUAGGGUUUAGUCUAGAGGCUCAUAUGAACCAAGAACAUUUUUCAUUGCAGACUGCCUUUAACCUCUUUAGAUCAUUUUUGGAGAACUUAAUAAAAUAACUAUUCAACCUACCAUACUGAUUGGGAGCUUCUUUUAGAUUGUCUUUGGACUUAAAGAACAUUCCAAUAUGAAGUUUAGGAUUACUCAUGUCAUUGUCUAGGUUGCACUCAGGCCAAUUUUGGCCAUUUGAGUCAGAUUCAUGUGCACUAUCUAACCUCUCAGAAUCAUCACUAUCACACAGUUCCCCUAUUUCUAUAUCAUCCAUGUUUAAACCAUCUAGAUUAACCGUUAUCCUAUUAAACACAUCACUAUCAGAUAUAUCAUUAACAAACCCAUCACUAUCAGACACAUCAAAAUCAACCAUUUCUUCUUCACUCUCAUUAAAAUUAUCAUUAAUUAAACCUGCCAAAUAAAUUUACAGUCAAUAAAGGCAGACAACAACCAAACAAUUUAAUACAACAUAAGCAAUGACCAAACAAUUUAAUACAACAUGACAGACAAUAACCAAUACAAAAAUAAUUUAACACAAACACAACCAUUUUUUUCAUGCACAUGGCAGGCAAUAACCAAACACUUUAACCCUAAACCUAAGCAAUGGCAGACAAUAACCAAUACAAUAUAGAAGCUAAAGAAAAAAUUUAAUCCAAUUGAUAUUUGAAACUAGGAGCAGAUUUGUCUUUUAAUAACAAAACAAUAACCAAACUUGAUAUUGUUUGAUACAAACUGUAAUACCCAAUUUGCCCGGCCCACAAUAAAAACCAAAUAAAUAAAAAAAUUAAAACCAAAUAGUUCACAGUCCAUGUCCAGUUACAGUAGCCCAAUUACAAUAAAAAACUAAGCCCAAUAAAACCCAAAUGUCAUUAGCCCAAAUAACCUAAACCCUAACCCAAUAAGCAACCCAAUACACUCAACAUUUUCAGCAAAAAAACCCUAGGCAGGACCUAACUAUCGCUGCUGUCGCCGCCUCUUGCGCGCCGCACCUCCACGUGUGCUGCCACGUCUAUACCUGCAAAACGAACUAGAAGAGUCCUAAAGUAAAAAACAGUGUAAAAAAUAGAAAAAAUAGAAAAAUAAGUGGUAUUUUCGGGCUAUAAAAAGGGCUCCAAUUUUGUAUUUUUUUAACUUAAGAAUGAAUCAAAGACAGGGAAAAAAUCAACACAAAAGAAAAAUUCAAAGGUAGUUCUACUGUUUUUUAUUUUCUUUAUUUUCUUUAUUCGCUUGUUUUCUUAAAAAAGGAAAAUAAAAUAAAAAAAAGAGAGGAAAACGUACCAUUUGAGGUCGGGAAGUCGAAAAGCACCAAAAAAUGGGCUCUGUUUUGGUUUUUCAACCACCACGGACGGCGACGCCGUCGCCGGUGACUGAUGGCUGCCGCAGUGGUUCGGCACCGGAGUUCCACCGAAUUUUGGAAAGAGAGGAAGAACUUUGAGAGGUUUUUGAAGGGUUUUUUUUUUGAAGAAAGGAAUAAAAUGAAUUUUUGAUAAAAAAGUUGAUUUAUAAAGCUUUUCAAAAUGGAGUCAUUUUGGUUUAAAACACCAGGCGCAAAACGGUGCUGUUUUAGGCCCUUGACCCGCGCGGUGACCCGAACCAGGGGAAGGAUCCGCGUGUUUUUGCUUUAGCGGGAUAUUUGUGCAAAUGGUCCCUCCACUUUUUAUACUUGCUUUAAUUAGAUCCUUUUUGUUUAUUUUUAUUUCUUUUAAUUAAGCCUGUUAAUUUUGUUUCAUCGCAUUUUAAUCCCAAAUGAAGUGACGCGUUUUGGAGGAAGGGAAAAUUACCCUUUUAGUCCCUCAUUGUUAUUCGCGCGUUCAGAAGGGUCAUCCCUUUUUCAUUUACUUUUGAUUUGCCUUAGAUUUUUUUAAAAGCUCAAUUUAGUCCUUUUUUGUUAUUUUUGCUAUUUUAUUAUUAAUUUAAUUAAUUUAAUAUUAUUAUGUUAUUAUUUUACCUUUAUUAUUCAUAUAUUUAUUUUUAUCAUAACUAUAUCAUUAAAUCAAUUUGUUUUUACGUUAUUAUUUCCAUUAUAUUUCUUAUUUACUUAUUUAAACACUUUAAGUGCACUUUUUUUUAUGUAAUUUCAAAACUUUAAACUAUUUAUUAAUAUUAUUAUUUUUAUAACCCUAAUUUCACCUUUUUUUAAUAAUCAUUUUAAUAUUUCCUAGAUUAAGUUCCUCAACGCUAUUUUGUGUAUUUAUUUAUUAAUUUCUUUUAAUUUUAAUAUUGUUUUGUUAUAUUUUUUAUACUAUUUCUUAUACCUUCAUUAUUCAUUAUUAUUGUUGAUUUUAUUGUUUUUAAUAUUAAAGUGAUGUAUAUUAUGUGAUCAUUGUUAUUUUACAUUCGUAUUCUCGUUAUUCAUUUUUUUAAUAUUUUAUUCGUGUAACAUUUCAAGUAUCGCAUCAAUUUCGACCCAAAUGCAUAUUUAAAAAUAAAAAUAAAAAUACUUCGUAUUUUGGAAUUUAAAAAGAUCGUAUCCUAACUUACAGAGUCUCGAUUUUUUUGAUAAUUCUAAAUAUACGACCCCUUUUAAAAAAACAUGUUUUAAAAAAAUUGUCUUGGGAAUGAGAAAAGGAACGUGUUCCAACUUACGAGAUAUGAUUUCUUCUCCAAAGCCGAGAUGAUCAAAAUUUCUAAAAAUAAAUAAAUUUUUGGUGUUUAUUCUCGUGUUGGGAUUAGAGAUAUUGUGUCCUAACUCACGGGAUACAAUUUUUUUCUCAAUUAAUGUGAAAUUCACCCUUCUUUUUUAAUAAGAGGAUCAUAUUUUUAAAUUUCUUUGCGAAUUUUUAAUUUUCCAACAUUAGGACAUUAAUUAAUCAAUUAGGUACCAAUUUUUUGGGCGUUACGAGGGUGCUAAUCCUUCCUCGUGCGUAACCGACUCCCGAGCCCGUUUUCUCGAAUUUUUUAGACCAAAAUCAUUAUUUUAAUAAAUCAAAAUGUUUUAUUAAUUUCAAGGUGACCCGAUCACACCUCGAAAAAGAUUGGUGGCGACUCCUGUUUUCUCAUUUUUAUUUUCAAAAUAAAAGUCGACCCCUUAUUGUUUUAAAAAAUGGUUUCGAAACAAACAAUAAACAUGAUAUACACAACAUCAUGCACUUGCAAAUGACAUACACAACAUUAGUUUGAUACAAACAAUAAACUUGACAUACACAACAUCAGUUUGAUACAAACAAUAAACAUGACAUACACAAUUUCAUGCACAUGGCAUACCAUACAUAGUAUCUACCAUUCACUUUAAUAAGCAGACCCUAAACCCCAUAUGAAUAACAAAUAAAACCAAAAUCAAAAUAACCCUAAAUCUAAAAAAUCAAAAACUAAAUAUAGAAACUUACCCGUUACAGUGGAUGUAACAACAUUGGCAGCUUCUCUUCUAUUGACCAUUGUUGUUAAGAAUCAAAAACAUUGAUAGGUUUCUCGUUUUGUCUUCUUUUCUCCCCAAACAAAAAAUAUAAAUCGGUUUCUAAACCUAGACCCUGUUAAUCGAUUACCAAAUUAAUUUUCUAACCCUAAACCAACCUUGUUAAUCGAUUCCUGAAUCAUUUUCUAACCCAAAGUUGUGGACUCAAAUUCGGAUAAUUAAAAAAAAUGUUGAUAUCCAACCCAAAACUUCUCGAUCGAGCCUAUUGGUCUAUUUGUGUGAAAUAAUGGGCGAAGUUUAGGAGAGAAAGUAGAGGUGUUCAUGAGUCGGGUCGAGUUUGGGUUGGGCCUAGACAUGGUAUUAACAUACAAUUUUAUGUUUGCCCAAGCCCAAUCCGACCCAAAAUAUGGGUCUAAAUUUUUUCUCAAACCUGUAAAUAACUAACCCAAGCCUAUUUUAGGCCUAUCUAUAUUACUUUUAAAAAAAAUGUUAUUUUAUUUUAAUAUUUAAUAAAUUUAUAUUUUUAAUUAUUAAAAUUUUAUUUAUAGUCAUUUAUUAAUUUUUGUAAUGUUCACAUUAUAGUGGUUGUUAACUAAUAAGGUGAACAAGGAAAGAAGAUAAAUGUAGAAUAAAGGAGAGAAGGAUGAAAGUCUGGAAGAGAUUUAUGUUUUCCUAGGAGAGAGUUUGGAGAUUUAGGAUAAGAAAAAGCCCCACGUGAGCUAUUUGUAUGACCAUUUUAUAGUGGGGGUGUAAACUUAGUUACGUGUUCUAAGAUUGUUGAUGUGAAAGUCUGAUUUGAUACCCUUAACAGUGACGGUAACGAUAACGUGAUGUCUCAGGAUAAGACAUAUUAGAGCGACUAGCAAUCAAUUACUCUAAAUCUCCACGUGACCCUCACAUAGUCUUAGUGGAGCUAUCCCUUUCCAAAGUUUGUCAAGUUAGGGUUCACGAACUAGCCUAGAUUCUCAAUGUGAUUGGUUUCAUUGGGAGGCAUGUGUUCAGCUCUCUAUAGAUACAUGGUCAGGUUCGCGAGGUAUGUUAUAAGGUUCACGAAGCCCAUUACAUAAGGUAUAACAAGAAUAUUAUAUACUACUUUAAUUUUUGUGCUAUAAAUUACAUAAUAUAUAAAAAUAACAUAUAUAUAACAUUACAAACUUAAAGAAAACAUGUCGGAUUGGGUUGGACUCGUGCCAUGAAUAUUCAAACCCGAUCUCAUCUAUAUUUUAAACGAAUCUAAUUAUUUUGCCAAGCCCAUGUUUCAGGUCUAACAUUUUUACUUAGAUCCUUUUAAUUUUAGGCAGACACUCCGACUUGGAUAUGUAAACUUUCCAUGAAGUAGCUGGGAAACGGAUUUAAAUUGAGGCAAAGGUCGCAUCAAACGCGGUGUUUAUUACUUAAGCUGAUAAUCCUCUAUGUUAUACCAAAUGGAGAUUAUAAACAUUCAAAGAUACUUCCAAUAUAUUUUUAAAAGAUGAAAUAUAUUGGACUGAAUACAUACUGCUACCUAACCUUUACAUAUUGAAUUCGAAUGACACAUAGUUUACAUGUGAAACCCAAAAGUAAGAUCCUUUAACCAUUCAAAGCGUUCAAUGACGUGAAAACGCUUGCUUUUCUUUUCUCUCUCUUUCUCUUUCAUCUUUUUCAUCUUCAAUUCAUGCUGCAGUUUCUUCUCUUCCAUGGCAGAAACCAAUAUUGCGUUCUUUUUCUCACCCUUUUUGUUACGUUUGAUGAAAACUACGUUGUUCAACGGAACUGUUUCAACUACAUUAGCUGAGCAUUUACAUCCACUAUACAUCCCCAUUAUUCUCUUCUCUAUGAAACCCUUGUUUAAAUCUUGUAGCUUCUUUGAAACUUGGCCAACUUUCUUGUUUUUAACAACCUUACUGUUUCGGCUCACUGUAUUUCUACGAACUUUCAAGUCUUGCAAUUCUAGUACGGGUGCUCGAACCACACCUAUCCUGAAAAACCCCCACAUUGACCAUGUCUGGUUUCGAAUUCCGACAUUGACUGGUCGAGUUUUCGACAGGCUUACCUGCGGUUUGGGACUUGGAUCUGUGCUGAGCUUGUUUCUGAAAUUUAUAGACUUGGAGUUGGAAUUUGAAACUGCGAUGGAAUCAGUAGUAUUAUUACUGCUGCUAACACUUGUGAAGCCACUUAAUGAACCAUGGUCCAUGGACUCUGACCACCGGCACCCACUGUCAGACCAAACCAAGUCCCACAGGGGCAAUAUCUGGCCUUUAAAGAAGACCUGAUCAGCUGAACACAUUUGUGGGUCUGUUAAUGAGCCAAAGUUGAAAUCUUCAUCAGAUUUAAAUGCUUGGGGUUCACCAUUUUCUUCAUUCCUUGGUUGAACUUGGUUCUCCAAUGGCAGAUCAGAUAGUGACAGUGCGUCUUCUUCAUCACUGCUAAUUGCAGUGCUUUCCAUGGCUUCCAAAGUUGAAACAAACUGAUACUUGUUGUAAUUCAAGCAAGAAAUGGUGCAGAAAGUGGGAUUUUAUAGGCAAAUUUUGAAUUGCAGAGAGAAUCAUAGGGUGGGGAUUGAAAUAGGAAGAUAAAUAGAAUAUGAAGAAACAAGGGGAAAAUGCAGAAUUGCAGUGCAUUAGCCUAGCUAGUAUUCAUGCUUUGAUUCUCUGCAAUAUUCAAAGAUGGAUACUGAGCAUAUGAUUUCCAAAUAAUUGAAUAUAUAUAAAUAUAUAUAUAUACCUACAUCAAUUUAUGCACUCACAUUCAUUUUCUUCAAUAUUAUUGUCGACUGUGGAGGAAAGUGUGGGGGCGGUUAGAUUUUAUACUCUUGUGGGGCUAAAAGCUUAAACACAAAACGUAUGUUAUGAAAAACCCAAUGAGGUGUUGGUUGUGCUGGUAAAAAGCGAGACACUGUAAUUUGUGAACAUUAAGUGCAGGUUACAUAGGUGAGUUUAGUAAGUAAAUUAUUUCGUUCAGAUUAGUUAAUUAUAACUUUUUUAAAAGGUAAUACCAAAAUAAUGAAAUCUGGGAAGGAAAAAGUAAACAAUGGAAUGGGAAGUUUAUGUUAAGUCUCUGGGUCGUCGUCUGACAGCAGAAACAAGUUCAGGGAUUCCAUCUUAUGAAAGGAAUAUAUAAUUGGGUAUUUUAACCCGUCGGCAAUGGCAUAUACAUCGUUGAGUGGAAAUUUAAGUUGAAGUUUUCCAAGAAUAGAAGACUUUUAACCCAUAUUCAAAUAUAUAAAUAAAUACUUUUUUUUAAAUAUUUAUAGAUCGAAUCAUAGAUGACUUGUUUUCAAGUCUUCAAUUAAAUUUCCACGAUUUCUAUUUCUUACCCUUCAAUACAAAUUUUAAUCAUAUAAAUAGACUAAUCAAGAUUAAAGAAGGGUGGGUGGUUGGUGUUGUUUUUAUUAUGUAAUUAAUAAAAGAAAAUUCGGGUGUUAAAUUUUAUAGGGUCGGUGGCCUUGGCAUUGGUUAAAGGGAAGUUUUAUGUGGUGCAAAACAGGAGCUUUAAAUUUUUUGAAUGAUUAUGGCGAAGGAGAGACCUUUCAAUUUAAUAGAUUGAAUGCGACACUUUAUUCUUUUACUCUGCUCUAGAGGCCCAUCUACCAGGAUAGAAUUGACUUGUAUUACAUUAUGGUUUUUUCUUUACCGGCUUUAGGAAAAAAAGAUUCAAGAUCAUGGAUCAUUUAAAUUUUCAUUUACUUUGAAAAUUCGAAUGAACUGAUGAUAAGAAUUCUUAACUUCGUAAUAUUGUCCAGGUACCUAUGUUGUUGAUUGAAAGAUCCUAACUCCAUGAAGUAUUUUAUAUAUAAAAAGUGAGUAUAUACAUAUUAGCUACAUACCUAUGUUAGGCAGUCCUAUACCAUGCAGGUCCAUCUCUGGUUUAUGUUUUUCCUAUGCAUACAAUUUGUAGAAUAGCCAUUAAAUUUCUUACUCGUAUAAACACUGUAGUUAUCAACUAUGGGUUAUGAUACUUGAAUAUAAAGAAAAUUGCAUGAAAAAAACUGUAAGGUCUAUAUUCUUAGAUAAAAAGUUACUCCGGGCAAAUGGCUAAUAAUGAUGGUAAAUCACCUUUCCUAAAACUGACGAUGGCAGUCAUUAGAAUUAUGUAGUUUUUAUGUAACAUUUAAACACAACAUAUCUGUCCAAAAGUCUGGAUUGAUUUACAAAGGAACCCAGAGUGUACCCGGUUACUGAGUUCGCAUCCUGCUGCUUUCUGCUGCCCUGACUUGAGAGAAGUAAGGAUGGGCCUGCAACAGCAAAAACAAAUAUAUCAUGCCAAUAUAUGGGGAUUCAUUAUUAUGUUACACAAACUUGGGUUUUGAGUUCAACAUGCGUAUGUAUCUGGCACAGACAUGAUCAGAUUUUAUUUCUAUGUAUUUGGAGAAUAUUUGAAAAUCAUCUCUCUAUCCAAAUGUCAGACGUGGGUAUAUGCUGGAUGAUAAAUGAUUUAAGAAAAAUGAAGUGGCCAGAUGAUAUGACUACCCAAGAUCCACUUCAUAUUUUUAUUGAGGACAAUAACAUGUUUCCAAGGAGCACGAAGAAAAUGCUCAUUAAUAGGUUGCUCUGACUCUACAUUUUUCUUGAAAUACACAUAUCACAAACAUACCAUUACACCUGAAUCCAAUUAACUUAGGUUCAUUUCAUAUUUUACAAGUCAUACAUUAAGAUUUAAUAAAAGAAAAGAGCAUAGAGAAAUGGUAGUAGCAUUCAUAAAGUUUAUUGUAGACCUACCAUGGCUUCUCUUGCAGUUAGCCUGUCUUGAUGAUCGUACCGCAGCAACUUAUCAAGAAAAUCAAUUGCCUGAAAGCCGAAGAGCUCAAAGAAUGAAUAUUAUUUAUUAAGACAUUUAGUGCACUGUAACUGAGCUUAUAGUAUUCAACUUCCUAGAUGUUUGCCUCAAGAAGAAAAAUGACCUCUGGAGAAACAAGAUGCUGAUUAUCCGCAUUAAUGAAUUUGGACCAAGGUUUACGGCUGUGCCUGAAAAAUAAUAUAGCAAAUGCGUAAUGGAGAACAAGUUAACCAUUCCCCUAUUAACAUGUCUACCCAUCAGUGUGUCAGCACCACAAGGUGCUUUGUGAUGGUUUAAUGUUAACUAGUGCUUUUGUUUACAAUUAAGUUCAAAAGCAUGCACUAUGCUGUGCUUCAGCUCUUCAUUUAAAAAAAAAAAAGACAAAUUCCACACUAUUAACAUGUCUACCCAUCAGUGUGUCAGCACCACAAGGUGCUUUGUGAUGGUUUAAUGUUAACUAGUGCUUUUGUUUACAAUUAAGUUCAAAAGCAUGCACUAUGCUGUGCUUCAGGCUUUCAUUUAAAAAAAAAAAGACCAAUAUCCAGCACACAUUUGGACAUGGAACAGGGAUAGUGCCCCUCCAGGGACUCUCCAAAUAUAUAUAUGUAUGGAGAGAGAAAGAGAGAGAGUUUAAAAAAACCUUAAAAACAAUUAAACAUGCCAUGUCAGGGACAUACCCAUAUCCAACACUCACAUUGGAGUCUAAGUAACAUGGACCCAACAUAUUGGAUAUAUAUUAAUUCUUCACAUACCUUCCAACAAGUGCAUCAAGUUGAGGAUCCAACUCUAAAUGGUACUUGUUUAAAUAUGCAUUUAACUCAUCAGUCCCUAGUACCUGAAGGUGCAUUAAUAGCAGUCAAAAGUUGUGUAGCAUUGACACAAAACUGGCAAUACUUGUUAGGAAAAACCGGGAAAGAAAGUGAAUAGAACUUCUUGUUUGACAGUGCACGUAAAUUAUGCCCCUUCUACAUAUCCCCUCUCCAGCUAUGACAAUAAAGUGGGAAUAUAUAUUUAAAUUGAAAUCUGCAAGGAUAAAAUUGCAUCUACAAAGAGUUGCUAAUAAACAGCACUAGCAGCAGCAGCAGCAGAUGCUUGAAAAGGUUGUCCAGAUGUAGAUUGUAAAAGCAAGGAGGACAAUAUGAGAUCGACAAGGGACAAUACCACUAUAUAGGCUAAUAUGUUACAGGUAACAGUAAAAAGAAAACAUCUAUAAUACCAACCAGAAUGUUAAUUUAACAAGACAAAUGAUAAAUAAAUCUUGGGCAACAAUAUUGAAACAUCUGGCAAUCUGCAAUCUGAAGAAGUAUAUUACCUUGGCGAUUUUAACUAGUUGAUCAUAGUUAUCAUGGCCAUAGAAGAAUGGUUCCUUCCGGAAUAUCUACACAAUAAAACAUCAUAAGUCAUAACUACUCUAUUAUGCACCCAAAGUUGGAAAGUUUUGAAUGAAAGUUUAAUGCAUUUAAACUAGAAUAAUGGAAUUCCUCACCAUUCCUGCAAACAUACAACCAAGGCUCCACAUGUCCAAGGAAUAAUCGUAGUCCUGCAAAUCUACCAGAAGCUCGGGCCCUUUAAAGUACCUGAGAUGUACGGAAUGUUCUUAUAUUUUUUUGACAAGUACUAAUAUCUAAUGCCAGUCUGUUUCAAGGUCUCAAGGGAAAAAGCAAUCUUGAAAAUAUAAAAAGGUAUAUUAGGGGGUUAAGCUGGUCAUUCGAUUCAUGAUGUUUUCAAAGCAUUACCGAGAAGCCACACGAACAUUAUACUCUUUGCCAGGAUGGUAAAAUUCAGCAAGUCCCCAAUCUAUCAAGCGAAGUUUGCGCAGCUCAUGAUCUAUCAUGACAUUGUGAGGCUUGACAUCUCUAUGCAUUAUUCCUUGUGAAUGGCAAUAAUCUAAUGCCUACAAAGCAAAGAAAAAAUUCCUAUCAUCCUAUACUGCAAACAUGCAAAUCAUGAACCCUCUUAAAACUUCAAAAAGCCAGUCAGCUUUUGGAACCCAAUCAAGUGUAGAAUAGAACUACAAAUAAUAAGUUAAAAAAAAAAAAACAAUCACCAAAUGAAUACCAUGAUGGAGCAAAGUUCAAUACAUCAAAAGUUUGAGUGAGGAACAUGAUAUUACCUUGAGAAGUUCAUAUAUAUAGUAGCGAAUGUCAUAGUCAGUCAAAGUUGGGUAGAGAACUUUGAAAUCUGUACUGUUGACAUACUCAAAUAUCAAGCUUGGUGUUUUUGAGAGCUGAUCUCUUACAACAUCGAGAAGUUUAACAAUAUUCGGGCCACCACAUAGAUUCUGAAGGAUUUUAAUCUCCCUCUUAAUCUGCCAAUAAUAACAAUAAUAAUAGAGAUUAUUUCUAUAAUCUAUAGCCAAUGAUUCUCCGACACAGUUUUUCUUGAAAUACCCACAUCUAACAUAUAUUCGGGCAAAGGUAACCCUCCAAGUACAUAGAAAAAAUUUUAAACAAAUCUACCGUACUCAGGUCAAAUACACACCCCUGUCCAACAGUUACACCCAAGUCCGAGUAACAUAGUAUAAUUGCAAUUCUGCUUUAAAGAUUUUCUCAUAUAAAUCUACUCCAAAAUUAAUCAAAUCUGACAGAAAAAAAAUAAGUACUAACCUUUUUUUUCUUGACAGGCUUGAGGAUCUUUAUUAUACAACGCUCAUUGUUGUUGACAUUUAUGCCCUCGAAAACCUCACUGUAUUUUCCCCUUCCAACUUUUCGAACAACCUCAUAAUCAUCUUGAUCACUAAAACGGAUCAAGGUAAAACGAGAACACGAAGAAAGAACAAAGAAUUUACAUCAAUCACGAACUGAAUCGAACAGUUAGCUUAAAACAUUCGGUCAUAUGUCCAAAAAGUUACAAAAAUGAUUGAGGUAAGGGCAGUAAGAUUUAAAGAUCUCGUUAACCUAAUUCCACAAUCGUGAAUUGGCAUUACUUGAUGCAACCUAGCGUAACUUUCAAUUAAAUAAACCAAUGACAAAUCUGAUCAAGGAUCAAGGAAAGUAUUGAGGAAUUAAAUAAAAAAUUACCCCCAUUGAACAGCGAGAGACUCGUAAUCCCAGUACUCCUUGGGACGAAGAACGUUGACGUCAGUAUAAACGCGAGAUUUGGACAUGAUUCGCCGGCGACUGGAACAGGAGAUCUCGUCGAUCUUACUGUAACCGGCACCGGCGUGGGCGAGGGAGGGCGGGAGGCGACGAUGGCGCAAAUUAGCAAUAAGCAGAGUAAAAGUGGAGGGUUGGCGCUUCGCGUUUCAUUCAUUCAAGCCAGCCCAUUUAUUUUCCUUCCUAGAUGGUUAUUGGCUAAGCUUAGUAGGUUCGUCAGGCUUUGGUUUUAAGGGAGGACUACUCCAAACACCAAAAUUGUUCCGAAAAUUUUAAAUUUUGGAUAAAAAUAAUGUACCUCAAAAAUGAGUUUAAAUAAAAAAUAUAAUAGUCGCUUAAAAUCUGCGUUAAAUUCAAAUUUUAAUAUUCAAAAUUCGAGUUCAAUGGUCAAUUCAUUUCAAGUUUAUGUUAUUUAUACAAUUUAUAUCUUAUAUAAUUAAAUAUAUUGUUGUUGAUACGAAAUACAAUAAAGAGGAGAUUGUACUAAUUUGAAGGAAAUCGAUUCACCUUGAUAAGCAAAGAAUUGGAAAAAGACAAGGGGAGAGGAAGAAGGUCGUAGGAGCUAAGGAGGCUUGAUUGUAGAGAAUAAGUGCUCAAUGAUUUUUAAAAGGGAAAAAAUAUACCUUUUCCCAUCAUUUGGAAGGGUAUAUACAAAAGAGGUCCUCUUGUCCGCUUAUAUAUGUGGUAAGGUGGUUAUUGUCGUAUACAAUGAGGUUCAUUCUAUUAUUCCUCUAAGCAGUACGAGAUUGUUAUGCUUAAGUGGGUCCUAAUGAUCUCUGAAGAGAGUAUUCGCACUUAGAAGAAUUUUUACAUUAAAAAGCAAAUGGUUGAAUAGAAUGAGUGUUAUAACGGAUGGGAGGUACAAGUUACUCACAGGUGUCCACAUGGAGCCAUUUGAGUGUGUCACGUGUCUAGCCCGAAUGGUGGUAUAACAAUUAUAUUGUAAUGUAAAUAUUAAAAAAAUAUGUUAAAUUGAAAUUUAAAAAAAUAUAUAAUGGUAAUAAACUUAUAUAUAAUUAUUAAAUAUAAAAUAAAAAUUCUAUUUAAAAAAAAAACUUAAACAAAAACUUAGUUAAUCAUGUAUAAAUAUAAACCUUAUAUCUAAAAUCGGGCGGAGCUUAAACAACUGUAUCUUAUAAAACACAUGUAAUUCCCAUGGAAAUUUUUUAAGUUUAAAAUUAAAUUAUAUAUACUCUAAAAAGAUAAAUGAAGUGAUGCGGUCCCUAAGGCUAGGCUGAGAUGGAUGUGGAGCUUUGUUUGUUCCAAGCUCUGAAAGUAUUAAAAAUCAAAUUAGAUAGUAUAAACUUUUUAAAUAUUUGAAUUUGUAUGAAUGAAAAGGUUGGAUUUUUAUUUGAAUUAUAUUUUUAUUUUAAGAGGGUAACCAUAAAUGGAAAUAUAAAUUUUGUGUUUGAACGCACUAACUUGAGUUUCACACAAAAGAAAAAAAUUUUAAGUUUUAAAUCCUUCUGAAUUAAAUUAAUAAAAAGGAAACAUUCCCAAUUCAAAACAAACAUUAACAUCUUGGUGUUGAGAGCUGACACCACCAGUUUUUUCUCGGUUCGGUCCCUGCAUAUAAGAUAGACUUAUUCUUCUAGUGUACAAUAGGAAACAACUAAAACACUAUGGUGCACUAACAUUACAUGGUAAGCAUUUUGCAGGUUCAUCCACCCUGGUUUGAACUUUGAUGGCAAUUUGGCAAACAUGAGGGAAAUCAUGUAUGAAAUAAUGGAACUUUGUUUCCAAAUGGGCAGCAACCCCAUGUGACAUUGGCCCGCUUGGUCUCCUUUGCUAAGAUUCGGACCGCACCAGUUCAUAGGGUUAAUGUUAAAAACUCGCUUGGUCUUAAUGGGAUGUAGAGUUACAUCAGCCAAGUCGGUACCCUUGGCAACCAAAUUAUUUUACGUAAUGGGCAACAAUCGCCAGGCCUCACCAACGUACCAUACGAAUGCAUAGCAUGUGGAGCUGUUUUGGUUUACCUUGUUAAGGAUAGGUGUUGAGUCUUUGUUAACAAGGUGUUGAGUCUUUUUCAUGACUUGCAUGUAACAUCUCGCUUAACUUGUAUCCGACACAUCAUCAUCUAUUUAGAAGUAAUUAUGCCCCUUAAGUGCCAAAAAAUGGUGGUGGACUAGAUGGCAAAACUUAGGGUGAUGCAGGAGCAUUCACCGAGCUUCCAACUACUUGGGUCCAAAUUGAAGAAGAUGAAGCUAGACAAAUUUUGGGUUUUGAAAGCCUAAUGUGAUGCAACAUGAAGAGCCUAAUUUGGAUGGAAGAAUCUUAGUAGAUUUUUUCUAUGCAUUCAUUAAAUAAAUAGGAUGUGUUGACACCAUUUUUUUGAUGGAAAAACGGGGUCGACUUGGGUUUUGAAAAAUGAAACGGGAGUCGCCACCAAUCCUUUUUUAUGAGGUGUGAUUGGAUCACCUCAAAAAGUGGUUGUUUUUAAUAAACGGUUUGAUUUUAUUAAAACAACAAGUUUGGUCCACGAAAUUCAGAAAAACGGGUUCGAAAGUCGGUUACGCACGAGAAAAGAUUAGCACCCUCGAUACGCCCAAAAUUGGUACCUAGUUGAUUACUUAAUGUCUUAGUUCAAAAAACUGAAAACUUUAAAGAAAUUUAAAAAAAAACGAUCCUUGUAUUAAAACGUUAAAUUUUUUUCAGGAAAAGGGGCAUAUUUCGUGUUAUUCGAGAAAGAGAAUUAUAUCCAGUAAGUUGAGACAUAAUGUCUGGAAUUCCCGAUACGCGAAUGAAAAAUACUUAUUUAAAAGAUAUUUAACUAUCUUAGAUUAAAAAAGAGAUCACAACCAGUGAGUUAGGACAUGAUCCUUUUUUAAUUCUCGAUAUCGUUUAAAACUUAAGUUGGAAAAGAUUCGUGUAAUAAAGUUUAAAAGAAUAUUCAAUUGUUUAAAUCAAAUGAAGAAAUCGCAACCCAAUACGUUAAAGCACAAUUUCUCAAAAUAUUAAACAUUGAAUAUUACAUUUCUUUCGAAAAAUCCUCGCCUCGAGAAAACAACGUGUCACGUCCAAUGCGUUAGGACACAACGUAUUGAAUUAUUGAUAACGAGCUUUUAUCAUUUUAAAAAAAAAAAAAUCUCGAUUAUUUAGAUUCAACGAAGAAAAUCGGAACCCAAUACGUUAGAGCUCGAUUCUCUCAAGGAUCCCAAAUACCGAGUAUUACUUCUAUUUUUUUAAAAUUUUCCUUUUCAAGAAUCUAAGUAAAAAUGUAUGUAGUGGAUAAAUAAAUAAAUAAAUGAAUAAAUAAAUCAAACAAAUGAAAUUAUAAAAAAUGCAAGAAAUGUAUGGAUGUACACAUGUAUGUAUGUACAUAUAAAUUAUAAAAGGUAUAAAAAUAUAUUUUAGACACAUGUAUUUUUAAAGAAGAAAAUAAGUAUACGUAUAGACAUAUAUAUAUGAAUAUACAUACAUAAGUUACAAACUAUAUAAAUAUGCACGCAGAUAUAUAAAAAAAUAUAACAUACAAAUAUAUAUAAGUAUAUGAGUUAUAAAAACAAAAAGAUAUCUACAAGUGAAUAUAUAUUUUUAAAGCAUAAAAAAUAUAUAUAAAUGUAUAUACUCAUGGAAAUGGGACAUGGAUAUAGCUAUAUAGAUGUAUAAAAUAUAAAAUAUAAAAACAUAUGCAAGCAUAUACACGUAUACAAACGCAUAAUGGAAGUAUGUGCAUGUAUGUAUAAUCGUAUGUGAUAUAGCAAAUUUAAAAGCUUGAAAAUGCAAAUAAAACUUAAUAAUUUCAACAAGUAAGUAAACGAAAUAAUGGACAGGACUAAAUCGAAAAUUAAAACAAAUCUCAGGGUUAAAAUCUGUAAAUAAACAAAAGGAUGGCUCAGGACCAAAAUGGUACACUCUGAAAAGGGGGAAGGGUUGAUCAGGAAAUAUUCCCCUCCCCAGCAUGCAGUGUUUCAAUAUGGACUAAAAUGAAACACGCGAAAAACCAGGAGGCUAAAUUAAAAAAAACAAAUGGGACCAAAUUGCACUCAAACGCAAAAGGAGAAGGACCCCACGCGCAAAUAGCCUACAUCACGAAAACAUGCGGAUCCCCCUGGACCGGGUCGGAUCACGCGCGGGUCAUGGGGCUUAAACGGCGCCGUUUUGUUAUCUCAUUAAAACUAAUUUUUUUUUACAAAAAUUCAUUUUUUUCAUUUGGAAAUAAAAAGGUUUCAAAACAUUUUUUUUCUCUCUAUUUUCUUUCAAGAAAGACGACCCCUCCCCUCCCAUCUCUCAAAUCUCCGGCCAUUUAGGCCUUUUCGGCCUCCGGCGCACCGCCAUCGUGGCCCUAGGCCGACGGCGAGGGAAAAGGGCUACUCCGGUAUAUUUCUUUUCCUUCCCCCUUUUCUUUGUUUUCGUAUAUACAAGAAUAAAAAUAAAAUAACAAUAAUAAGAGAUUGAAAUCUAGAAAAAUAAGAUGAAAUCACCUUGAAACUAGUUUCUCUGUUUUUAUAUUUUUUGAAUCUCUGUUUCAAUCCGUUUCUUGUUACAAAAAGUCCCCUUUUUUAUCAAAAAUAAAGAUCGGUUCCCCCCCUUUUACAAACAUGAAGAUCCGCCACCAUUACAUUUAGUUUCAUGGCCUUUAUAGCCGGUUCACAUUUUUACUUUCUUCUACUGUUUCAACUGCUCGUUUGGUUUCUGUCUUUUCUUUCUUUUCAUUGCAGGUGGUGAUGGUGAUUGUGGGGUGGCAGAGAGCAGGUGGUAGAGGAGUGGUGGCAGCAGCGGCAAGUGGUUUGGGGGCUAGGGUUUCUGUUAGGUGUUUAGGUUUUGGGUUUUGGGCUGAGGUAUUGGGUUGAAAUGGAAUUUGGGUCUGUUGUUGAAUGUAAUUGGAUUGUUAAUUAAUUUUGGUUUGGUUGUAUUUGGGCUUGUUGGGCCCUGGGUCAAAAAUUGGGCCCUACAGGAUGCAAAUGCAUGCAGGAAUAUAUGUUCAUUAAACACAUGUAUUUAGUUUAUUUAAGAUAAAUCUCAUAAUUGUGCAUGUAUAUAGGAUUAGAUGCAUGUAUUUGAUCAUUAAUGUAAGUAUUAAUGUAUGCACUUAGCUUUUAAGUUUCCUAUGUUGGGGAAUGUCCCAAAUAGCUUAUAUAAAGGUAAACAAUAUAAAUGAGAAGAGAUAGAUGAGAAUUUAAUUCUAAACUCUUUC
rnacentral:lncRNA from 1 species